rnacentral:lncRNA from 1 species
UAAGAUCAACUUCAUUCAAUCAGAUGCAAUGACAGUUCUAAACGAUCUCAUUGCCGAUGUAAGUGUCCUCUGCGUAGCUCGAGCCACCGCUGCCUUCAACCAAACACCUCUCUAUUUGAAUGAAUGAAUGUGUGCAGGGGAAAGAAGAAGGGACAUUGGACUUUGCGAUGGUGGAUGCUGAUAAGGAGAACUACCUCAACUACCAUGAGCUGCUGCUAAAGUUGGUUAGAGUUGGAGGCAUAAUCGCUUACGAUAACACUCUAUGGUUUGGUUCAGUAGCGCGAUCUGAAGAAGAAGAAAUGAUGGAUUUUGAGAGAGCAGGCAGAGUCCAUAUCAUGAAGUUGAACAAAUUCUUGGCAUCAGAUCCCAGGGUUGAACUCUCACACCUUUCUAUUGGAGAUGGCGUCGCGCUCUGCAGGCGCCUCUAUUAGCCUAAAUCCAUUCUCAUGAGGCUUAGGGUUUGCUUAUGGUGUUGAUUUUUCAAGGAAGUCUUUUGUCGGAUUUGUAUUUGUAUUUGUAUUUGAACUCAUGUCCAGACUCUGUUUGGGGAAUGAAUUUCUGCUUCAAGUUUAAAUUGAAAAUUUUGGACACUGCCAUUGAUGUAUCUAUUAGGAAUACAUCUCCUUCCUGGCUUUACAGAGAGAGCGAAGAGGUUGUAUCAAAAGAGUGCCUUGAUUUGUUCCAUUGAGUCCUAGAACAAAGUUUCAUUCAUUCUCCCUUGGACGACUUCUCAAUUUGGUUCUUCAAGCCAUGUCGGAGAGUGGCCUAGAUGUGGGCUUAAAAAGACUUUUUAUGGUCAGAACUUAUAUGGGCCUAGCACAACACUGUCGACUUAUGAUAUGAAGGACUUGUUUGGAAACAUUUUAAAACAUUUUUUAGAAUAAUUUUAGAAAACAGUUUUUAUUUAUUUAUUAUUUUAUGUUUUCUAUAAUAAAAAAUUGUUUAGAAACUUACAAUAUUUUUGACCUAUUGUGGACCCUGCAUUUCGGCGCAUGCAUUUCCCACUCAAUGGCGAGCUCGAUUUUUAUUUGAAAAAUUGAUUUUAUUUAUUGUUUGAAAAUGACUUAGAGUCGCCAUUUUGUGGAUCCUGCAUUUCGGCUUAUGCGUUUCCCACUUGAUGGCGAGCUCAAUUUUAAUUUGAAAAAUUGAUUUUAUUUAUUGUUUGAAAAUGAUUUGGAGUCGCCACUUAUUUUUGUUUUAUUUUUAAAGGAUAAACAAAAUAAGAAAGAAAAACCCUAAGCUUGACUCCUUAUUUUGGAAAAGGUGGUCUAUGAAAAACCGGAUCGAGUUCGGAAGUCAGGUUACUUAUCAGGAAGGUAUGGUAAAGACCGUAGCACCCCUUUAAGUCCCUAAAGUCGGGUCUCUACUAACGAGAUAAAGCAAUCAUGACAUCUAAUAAGGAAAUCAAUGGAUACCCGAAUCGAUCAUGCACAUAUGGGAAUUAGAACAUGCAAAGAGAAUGACUAGGAUGAGAGUAGAUACGUACUCGGGCAAUGAUUCCUAAUGCGCUAUCAAGAAAUGAGAUUAGUGCACAAUUAAGGAAUAAUUUUGAGCAUGUCAUAGAGCAAAAUAAAAUCAAUCAUGCAUAGCAAUUCAAUCAAUCAAUCAAUCAAUCAAUCAAUUACAAAACACAUAUGUGGGGCCCCCACCAAAAGCCCGUUUAUUUUUACAUGAAUUAAUUCCAUAAAUUCCAUCAUUUGGAAUUACAAAAUUUGAUUUUUGCUUAUUUCAAAACAAUUUAAAAUCAUGGAAAUUAUGAAGGUUGCAUGCCAGAAAGAAAAAUGGCAGCAAAAUUUUAUUGAAAAGUGGGGUUUUUAAGACCUAUAAGCUCUAAGAUUGGAUGAUGGAAAAAUGGGAUUGUUUGAAAACCAGAAUUUGAGAAGUAUUUACAAAAUGGGAUUUGGGAAAUCAUUUUCAAAAUCAAAGGUGAUGAAACAAGAGGGGUCAUGUGGUCCAAAGGUGACCAUACUCAAGGUGGCCAUGCAAAUAGAAGCAUGUGAGGGGUAAGCCCAGGGUAGAGAGUGAUGCUGGCUGGAAACCAAAUCAUUGAUCCCACAACUUUUGAUAUCUUCUCGCUUGAACCUCUAGCUGUACAACACUUGAAUUUUGAAUAUCUUGUGGAGUUCACACAAGAUCCAAGCAAGCAUUGUCCAGAUUAUCACAUGUGUUGCACAUAUCAGCCAAACCUUUCUGACAUGAGCCUUGAACUAAAUUCUAUCGUUUUUAAUAUAACAAUAAGGAAAAUUCUAGGGUACCUCUUCGGUACCUACCCAAAAAGCUUUUCAAGCCAUUGGAUGUCCAAGAUUACAUCUUGGCCAUCCAUUUUAAAUUUGAAAUAAAAAUUCCACUUAACCAGUUAAGGGAAGAACCGGUUGUGGCAUUCUUUCUUCCUCCAUUCUCAACAAUUUUGGGUUUAAAUAAAAUAAAUAUUAGAUAAAAAUAGAAUUGAAAAAAAAUAAAAAAUAAAAUGAUAUAAAAUUUGAAAACAUAUUUAUUAACAAAAAAAAUCAUCAUAUAUCAUAAUUACAUUAUUUUAUUUUUAACAAAUUAUUAAACAUUUAAAUUCAACAUAAAAAUGAAUGUGGUAAUAUUUUAAUAUGAAAUGAGUAUUUUCAUAAAAAUUCAACAUUUUGGUAAUCAUAUGUAAAGUUUAGGUAAUUAGAUCGUCCUAAUUUUUUUCCGUACUCUCCAAAUUUUACAUUUUUUGAAUUUAAGAUUUUUAAAGUUAAAUUACAAUAAAAUAAAUUACUAAUACUCUUUUAAGUUACUAGUGAUAGUAUUUUCGAAAAUAAAUUUGUAAUUUCAAAAAUUUUAAAACUAAAAAUCCAUAUGAAAAAUGUGAUAAAAGUACCAAACAUGUAUUUAUCACAUUUUUCAUACCGUUCUCAUAUUUUUCGUACCCUAAAUUAUUUAUAUUUUUAAAAUUUUAGAUUUACUUUUUAACUUGAAAUAACAAUAACAUAGUUUAAUAAUAUUAUUUUGAGUUAUUAUUGAUAGAAUUGUUAAAAAAAAAAAUUAAGCAUUAAAAAAAUUUUAAAUUGGAAAUAAUGUAAACUAUCCUAAAAAAUUAAAAAAUUAAAACACUAAAAAAUUAGAGAAGAUAUGAAAAAUGUGAGAAAAGGUAUGAAGAUUAUGAGAAAUCCUCACAUUCUUCAUACCUUACCUCACAUUCUCUGUACCCUAAAAUUUAACAAUUUUUUGAUUUUUUUCCACUUAAAAAUAUAAAUAAUAUUGUUUAUUGAUAUUAAUCAAGCUUAGAAAUGAUGAAUAUUACUUUUAAGAAAAUUAAAAAAUUAAAACACUAAGUAAUUAUAGAAGGUACGAAUAAUGUGAGGAAUUGUACAAAGAAUGUGAGGAAUCCUCACAUUCUUAGCACCUUUCGUCACAUUCUCCUUACCCUCGAAAAUUUUACAAAUUUUCAAACUUUUCAAUUUUUUUUCCACAUGGAAAUACAAUAAUAUUAUUUAUUGAUACUAAUUAAGCUUAGAAAUGAUGGAAAUUACUAUUAAAAGAAAUUAAAAAAUUACUCUUAAAGAAAUUAUGGAAGUUCGUACCCCAUCUCACAAAGUUCGUACCAUCUCUCACAAAGUUCGUACCCUCUCUCACAAAAUUCGUAUUCUCUCUUACAAAGUCCGUACCCUCUCUUAGAAAGAUCAUACCCUCUCUUAGAAAGUUUGUAAGUUCGUACCCUCUCUUACAAAGUUCGUACCCUCUUUGACAAAGUUCGUACCAUCUCUUACAAAGUUCGCACCCUCUCUUAGAAAGUUCGUACCCUCUCUUAGAAAGUUCGUACCCUGUCUUAGAAAGUUCGUUCCCUCUCUUAGAAAGUUCGUACCCUCUCUUAGAAAGUUCGUACCCUGUCUUAGAAAGUUCGUUCCCAUUCUUAGAAAAUGCGUACCCUCUCUUAGAAAGUUCGUACCCUCUCUUAGAAAGUUCGUAUCAUCUCUUAGAAAGUCCAUACCCUCUCGUAGAAAGUUCGUACCUUAUCUUAGAAAGUUCGUACCCAUUCUUAGAAAGUUCGUACCAUCUCUUAUAAAGUUCAUACCCACUCUUAGAAAGUUCGUACCCUCUCUUAGAAAGUUCGUAUUCACUCUUAGAAAGUUCGUACCCUCUCUUAAAAAGUUCGUACCAUCUCUUAGAAAGUUCGUACCAUGUCUUAGAAAGUUCGUACCCAUUCUUAGAAAGUUCGUACCCUGUCUUAGAAAGUUAGUACCCUCUCUUAGAAAGUUCGUACCCACUCUUAGAAAGUUCGUACCCACUUUUAGAAAGUUCGUACCCUCUCUUAGAAAGUUCGUACCCACUCUUAGAAAGUUCGUACAAUCUCUUACAAAAUAUUGAUGACAAUUUCAUAACAAAUUACUAAAUGCUCUCAAUUUGAUUAAAAAUAACUCAGAAAAAAAAUUAAAAAAUCUAGAUAUUAUAAAUCAUUACAUAUUUAAAUGUCAUUUAACAUGACAUUUCUACCUACAAUAGUUAUAUGUAAAUGGAAAAAAAAAAAAUCAAAUGUUACCUUUUAACACUUGUAAUCACUUGACAUCCUUCAAGACAUAUAAAGCUUCAUCUUCAAAUUUAAUCUAUGAACAAAAAAAAAAUUAUAUAAAAAUAUUAAUAACAAUUUGAGAACAAAAUUUUAUAAUAAACUCAUAAAAAAUUCUAAAAUCGGUAUUUAACAUCACAUUUCUUCCUACAACAAUUAUAUUUGGAUAAAAAAUAUAUCAAAUAUUACCUUUGACACUUGUAAUCACUUGAAAUCCUUCAUCUUCUUCAUAUAAUACAAAUUUUAAAUUUUCUCUCUCAAAAAGUUUUAAACUUGAUCUUGAAAUUUGAUUCAUCAAAAUACAUCUUACAUAUUUUGUAAUUUGGUAGUUGAAAUUAUGUAAUUUUCAUAUUAAAUUACUAUCCUUUUUUUUAUAUAUGAAUAAUGAGAGUAUAAAAGUAGUAGGUAAGAUUUUCUUUUUUUAGAUAGAGUUAGGUAAUACAUUAAAUAACAAAUUAUAUUUGAUAUUUAAUAAUAAAUUAUAAAAAAGUUGUAAUAUUUAGAUAUAUAUGAAAUGCAUGUGAUUAUUUCUCACCAACAAGUCAUCUUUACCGGUUUGAUAAGUUUUUUUAAAUUUUUUAAUGAUAUGCACUUUACACAUGUCAUAUUUUUAUUGGAGUCAAAUGUGGGUAGGUACCCCCAAAAUGAAGAGUGGGUACCAUAGAACAACCCUAACUUAUUAGCCAAACCUUUCUGACAUGAGCCUUGAACUGAAUUCUAUCGUUUUUAAUAUAACAAUAAGGAAAAUUCUAGGGUACCUCUUCGGUACCUACCCAAAAAGCUUUUCAAGCCAUUGGAUGUCCAAGAUUACAUCUUGGCCAUCCAUUUUAAAUUUGAAAUAAAAAUUCCACUUAACCAGUUAAGGGAAGAACCGGUUGUGGCAUUCUUUCUUCCUCCAUUAUCAAAAAUUUUAGGUUUAAAUAAAAUAAAUAUUAGAUAAAAAUAGAAUUGGAAAAAAAUAAAAAAUAAAAUGAUAUAAAAUUUGAAAACAUAUUUAUUAACAAAAAAAAUCAUCAUAUAUCAUAAUUACAUUAUUUUAUUUUUAACAAAUUAUUAAACAUUUAAAUUCAACAUAAAAAUGAAUAUGGUAAUAUUUUAAUAUGAAAUGAGUAUUUUAAUAAAAAUUCAACAUUUUGGUAAUCAUAUGUAAAGUUUAGGUAAUUAGAUCGUCCUAAUUUUUUUCCGUACUUUCCAAAUUUUACAUUUUUUGAAUUUAAGAUUUUUAAAGUUAAAUUACAAUAAAAUAAAUUACUAAUACUCUUUUAAGUUACUAAUGAUAGUAUUUUCGAAAAUAAAUUUGUAAUUUCAAAAAUUUUAAAACUAAAAAUUAAUAUGAAAAAUGUGAUAAAAGUACCAAACAUGUAUUUAUCACAUUUUUCAUACCGUUCUCAUAUUUUUCGUACCCUAAAUUAUUUAUAUUUUUAAAAUUUUAGAUUUACUUUUUAACUUGAAAUAACAAUAACAUAGUUUAAUAAUAUUAUUUUGAGUUAUUAUUGAUAGAAUUGUUAAAAAAAAUUAAGCAUUAAAAAAAUUUUAAAUUGGAAAUAAUGUAAAUUAUCCUAAAAAAUUAAAAAAUUAAAACACUAAAAAAUUAGAGAAGAUAUGAAAAAUGUGAGAAAAUGUAUGAAGAUUAUGAGAAAUCCUCACAUUCUUCAUACCUUAUCUCACAUUCUCCGUACCCUAAAAUUUAACAAUUAUUCGAUUUUUUUUUCCACUUAAAAAUAUAAAUAAUAUUGUUUAUUGAUAUUAAUCAAACUUAGAAAUGAUGAAUAUUACUUUUAAGAAAAUUAAAAAAAUUAAAACACUAAGUAAUUGUAGAAGGUACGAAUUGUACAAAGAAUGUGAGGAAUCCUCACAUUCUUAGCACCCUUCGUCACAUUCUCUUUACCCUAAAAAUUUUUACAAAUUUUCAAUCUUUUCAAAUUUUUUUUCCACAUGGAAAUACAAUAAUAUUAUUUAUUGAUACUAAUUAAGCUUAGAAAUGAUGGAAAUUACUCUUAAAAGAAAUUAAAAAAAUUACUCUUAAAGAAAUUAUGGAAGUUCGUACCCCAUCUCACAAAGUUCGUACCCCCUCUCACAAAGUUCGUACUAUCUCUCACAAACUUCGUACCCUCUCUCACAAAGUUCGUACUCUCUCUUAGAAAGUCCGUACCCUCUCUUAGAAAGAUCGUACCCUCUCUUAGAAAGUUUGUAAGUUCGUACCCUCUUUGACAAAGUUUGUACCAUCUCUUACAAAGUUCGCACCCUCUCUUAGAAAGUUCGUACCAUCUCUUAGAAUGUUCGUACCCUCUCUUAGAAAGUUCGUACCCACUCUUAGAAACUUUGUACCAUCUCUUAGAAAGUUCGUACCCACUCUUAGAAAGUUCGUACCAUCUCUUAGAAAGUUCGCACCCUCUCUUAGAAAGUUCGCACCCUCUCUUAGAAAGUUUGUAUCAUCUCUUAGAAAGUUCGUACCCUGUCUUAGAAAGUUCGUACCCACUCUUAGAAAGUUCGUACUCUCUCUUAGAAAGUUCGUACCAUCUCUUAGAAAGUUUGCACCAUCUCUUAGAAAGUUCGCACCCUCUCUUAGAAAGUUCGCACCCUCUCUUAGAAAGUUCGCACACACUCUUAGAAAGUUCUCUUAGAAAGUUCGUACCAUCUCUUAGAAAGUUCGUACACUCUCUUAGAAAGUUCGCACCCACUCUUAGAAAGUUCUCUUAGAAAGUUCGUACUAUCUCUUAAAAAGUUCGUACCCUCUCUUAGAAAGUUCGUACCAUCUCUUAGAAAGUUCGUUCUCUCUCUUAGAAAGUUCGUAUCCUCUCUUAGAAAGUUUGUACCCAUUCUUAGAAAGUUCGUACCCUCUCUUAGAAAGUUCGUUCCCUCUCUUACAAAGUUCGUACCAUCUCUUAGAAAGUUCGUACCCUGUCUUAGAAAGUUCGUACCCUGUCUUAGAAAGUUCGUACCCAUUCUUAGAAAGUUCGUACCCUCUCUUAGAAAGUUCGCACCCUCUCUUAGAAAGUUUGCACCAUCUCUUAGAAAGUUCGCACCCACUCUUAGAAAGUUCUCUUAGAAAGUUCGUACCAUUUCUUAAAAAGUUCGUACCAUCUCUUAGAAAGUUCGUACACUCUCUUAGAAAGUUCGUACCCUGUCUUAGAAAGUUCGUACCCAUUUUUAGAAAGUUCGUACCCUCUCUUAGAAAGUUCGUACCCUCUCUUACAAAGUUCGUACCAUCUUUUACAAAAUAUUGAUGUCAAUUUCAUAACAAAUUACUAAAUGCUCUCAAUUUGAUUUAAAAUAACUCAGAAAAAAAAUUAAAAAAUCUAGAUAUUAUAAAUCAUUACAUAUUUAAAUAUCAUUUAACAUGACAUUUCUACAUACAAUAGUUAUAUGUAAAUGGAAAAAAAAAAAAAAUCAAAUGUUACCUUUUAACACUUGUAAUCACUUGACAUCCUUCAAGACAUAUAAAACUUCAUCUUCAAAUUUAAUCUAUGAACAAAAAAAAAAAUUAUAUAAAAAUAUUAAUAACAAUUUGAGAACAAAAUUUUAUAAUAAACUCAUAAAAAAUUCUAAAAUCGUUAUUUAACAUCACAUUUCUUCCUACAACAAUUAUAUUUGGAUAAAAAAUAUAUCAAAUAUUACCUUUGACACUUGUAAUCACUUGAAAUCCUUCACCUUCUUCAUAUAAUACAAAUUUUAAAUUUUCUCUCUCAAAAAGUUUUAAACUUGAUCUUGAAAUUUGAUUCAUCAAAAUACAUCUUACAUAUUUUGUAAUUUGGUAGUUGAAAUUAUGUAAUUUUCAUAUUAAAUUACUAUCCUUUUUUUUAUAUAUGAAUAAUGAGAGUAUAAAAGUAGUAGGUAAGAUUUUUUUUUUUAGAUAGAGUUAGGUAAUGCAUUAAAUAACAAAUUAUAUUUUAUAUUUAAUAAUAAAUUAUAAAAAAGUUGUAAUAUUUAGAUAUAUAUGAAAUGCAUGUGAUUAUUUCUCACCAACAAGUCAUUUUUACAGGUUUGAUAAGUUUUUAUAAAUUUUUUAAUGAUAUACACUUUACACAUGUCAUAUAUUUAUUGGGGUCAAAUGUGGGUAGGUGCCCCCAAAAUGAAGAGUGGGUACCAUAGAACAACCCAACAAUAAACCCCUCUGCCAAAUUCUAGGUCCCAAGCUGCCCACAAGCUGCCCACAUGUAAAGGACACAAAUCUGCUCCUGUCCUAUUGCAAAUAUCACACUUACAACCGAGUCUUUCCCCUUAGCAAAACCAUCCUUGAUCUGGGUCAAUUUAUUGUUAUUAAUGGGGAGUUUCGAAUCAUCCCUUGGGACUUAAACUGAAGUUGCAGCAAAAGAACACCCCUGAAUCAUCCUUAUCUGUAUUCUUCUGGCAAGCGGAACCGGUCAUGACUAUUUUGUCCGCAAACAUGUUUCCAGUCUUGGGCAUGACAUGCCAGUGCAAUGUCAAGUUGAUUUCUUUUCCCCGGCGAUUGCUUCCCUGAUCAGUGAAUCGGUACUUGUUUGUGGUAUGAAUCCAGAAUCUCGCAUGCUCUUUUGAAGGUAUAAUAUCAUCCCAAAGAGAAACCUGAUUCAGGGAAUUCUUUGGUGUUGCAUACUCAGCUGCUAGAAAUACAAAAAAAAAUUUGUGUUCCAUGUAAACAUUGACUGCAAAUUUGCUGAUAUAUUCAAUGCCAGGCUGACCUCAUCGUUCCCACUGAGCUACCUCUGAAACCAAUUGAUACUCAACACUUCGACUUGGGAGGAGGGCGAGGGGGUGUUGAGGUUUUCAGAGAAGGAGGCCAUGGCGCACAUCACGACGAGAAUGGUGACGGCGAAGAAGGUCCAUCACAUGGAGAAUGGCCUUCAGAGUACUGUGGAAGCUGAUGAUAUUUUUCCUGAGUGUUGCUCCCACUGCCUCUGCCAGAAUACUGAGUUGUAUUGAAGCUUUUGACACCUAUAUCCGACAACCAGGAUCAACCUCUGAUAUUGAACAAUCAUCUUCCUUCAUAAUCUCGCUGUCGGCGAUGAUGCGGCGGCACCCCCUGAGGACAGCGGGGUUGAGGAAGACCUCCUUGCGGAUCAUGGUGUCGUUCUUGUAGUUGGAGUUGUUGGCAUAGCGGAGCUUACCGUCGGGCCUGGACUCGAACUCCAAGAACUCGUGCCCGAACUUCCUCUCGUGGCCAACGUAGUAACGGAGGUAGAUCCACAAGUGGGGCAUCAAUAUUUGGAGUCAAGAACGCGUCAACAGAUUGAUACACGCUGGGAGAAUAGAGCAACAGUAGGUGUUAAAAUCGUGAUAGAUUAUCCUGAAGGUGGGAUGCUGAUGCUGGCAGUUUCAUUGCGGUGACUGCUCCACCUGAAACCCUCCCUUCUAGAGCUCGCGCUGGGUUCAAUGAUGCUGUACAUGGGUUGGUGCUCAGUUUCACUACCAAUCCUGGAAUCAUCCCACUGUUAAAGCAUGAGAUUAGUGGGACAGUGCAGUGGCUGCCCGUACUCCGCCGCGACUUCGCCAUCACUGUCGUCAUCUUCAUCAUCGGACCUGUGCUUGGACUUCGAUCUGACCUGAUAAUCAUCGGCAGCAACAGCAGCCACCAUCUGAGCUUCCAAGACCCGCCGGCGCCGCUCUUCUGUAUGCUGCUGCUUGAGGGGCUAGAGCUUGACUGCGAUGACUAAAGUUGGCGUGGAUGAUCAGAGUUUGGAUCCUCAAAGCUAGAAUUCUGGAAGGCCUGCUGGAGAUGAGGUUGGAUAGAGCCCAAUUGAUCCUUCUGGUUGUUGGUCAUUGGGCCCUCUGGGAGCCCAUGCAAAUACCUUCUGCUCUGCUUGCCAAUAUCUCUAGGAGACAAAUUAAGUGUCUCUUAAACUGUUGGUGGCUGCACCGGUUUGUGAGUGGGAGGAUUGAGUCUCGUUGGAACUUGGCUGGAGCUUGGUUCUGCCAAGUUAAGUCUCUUACAAGACUGGGGCUUGGUAUUGGCUUGGGCUUGGCUGUGGCAUGAUUGCAAGCUGUUAGAAGUCCAAUAAAUGUAACUGAAUCUGGCCUUAUCCCAAUUGCAUUCAUCUGUUCAAAAAGUUCUACAGCUCUCUCCCCAAGCCCAUGACUUCCAAAUCCAGCAAUUAUGGUGUUCCAUGAGACAAGAUUGUGAUGGACCAUUUUGCUGAAUAUAUCUUAUGCAUAGCCAAUACAACCACAUUUAGCAUACAUGCUCACAAGUGCGUUGUCAACUCCCAGAUCCUGAUACAGCCUCAUUCUCAUUAGAUGAGCAUGUAUCUGCUUACCAUGGCUCAUUGAAGCAAGCCCUGCACAGGCAGCAAGGGCACUGGUAAAAGUGAAGCCAUCAGGCCUUACAUUAGUUUCUUCUGUCAUGUGCUUGAAAACUCUCAAGCCCUUUGCAUGAUCAUCACAAUGAGAACAAGCAGCAAUAAGGGUGUUCCAUGAAAUCAUAUCUUUCUCUUCAAUCAAUUUAAAGGCCUUCUCUGCUUCGCAGAUUCCCAGCUUGUUCUUCACAGUCCACUCUCUCAAGUAGUCUUGCUUUUCAAGCGCUCCAUAUCUCUCUAUAAUCUCAGCUUCCUCUCUCACUGAAUACGCUCUCCUGACGACAGCUCUCAUACGGCAACAUAUAACCCAUUCACCACUGAAGAUGUAUCCUCUGUAACUCUUUGCUCCCACGGGCAGAAAUGGGAAUAAUGAUGCACUCCAUGAACAGGUACCAGAAACAGGGGAAGAUGAAAACAGAGUGCAAGCAAUAGGAACGAAAUCAAUUCAUACAAGCCUCAUUUCAUAUAUUAAUCAAUGAGCUCAUAUGAGGGUGGGUGAAAUCAAGUGAGUACUAAAUAAAAAUCAAAACAAGGUUACAGAUGUCUCAAUGGGGAAACUGAAACAGAGCCAAACGGGUCCUCAACAAAAAUCAUUAAAGAAAGAGAUAUGAGCAUGCUUACUCCCAACCAACAAAAAUCAUCCAAGAAUCAACAAAAACAAAAGAAGAAAAAAUUUACCAGUUGAAGUGAAUGAGAAAUCCACAAUAAACAUACCUGAAAAUAAUCCUCUCCAGCUAUGUUGGCCAGAAAUCAGCAAGCCAUCUUUCUUCUUCAGCUGACCUCCCUCUCAAGCUAAAUGGAUACUCUCCCUGAAGCUCAAGGACCUCCCCCUAUUCUCACUAGCAAGCUCCCCAGGUUUUCUCUCUGAAGCUCCCUCAAAAUAUCUCUCUCUCCUCCUCAACUUCCACCCCCCGCUCCAGGAAUACCCUCUCUAAAAACUCAUCCUCCACCCACCUUUUUCCUCUUCUUCUGUAACCCUGCUUGCCCCCAAAUAUCUCUUCUGCCAGCACGUCCAAAAAGCCUGCACCAAAAAGCACCACCUCCCGCUUCUGCCCGCCACCUCCCUCUCUCUCAUACGCUCCUCAUAACAGAAAAAUGCUGCCCUCUCUGAAGAUCCUUCCAGGUGUCAACCAUUCAUUGGCUUCUUCAACUCCACUACUUGAUUCACUGAAGGCCAAUUACGGGGUGACACGUGGCUCCUUGAGAGCCCUCCACCUGCAAAGAAAAAAAUAUCCUGUAGAAGUGCCAAAGAGUGAACCCCAAAUUGGGGGUCUACACCUAUUCUUAUAUUUUUAAAUAAAUCUUAAAAUUAAUUUUUAGAUGUAACAUUUUACUUUUAAUUAUUUUCUAUAUUUAUAUCAUUAUAUUUCAAAAUAACCCUAAAAAAUAAGUGAAUAAAUUAAAUAUAAUUAGAAAGUACUCUAUUUUUAAAAUAUAUGGAAUUUUUAACUACCUUGAAAUAUUAGUUUUAAAAUUAAAUACUCUUAAAAAAUAAUCAUUUCUAAUUUUUUUGUUGAAUGAAAUUAAAGGUAAGUUAAUAUUUUUUUAUAUUAAAUUUUUAUUUUUAUUUUUUAAAAAACAAAAAAAUAAUAAUUUAAACACAUGUGGAUAGCGUUUUUUAUUUUUUAUUUUUAAAUUUAGGUUUAAAAUUCUAUAAAAAAAAUUUAAAAAAAAAAAUGAGAUGCAUAAUAUGAAAUUAUAAAUAUUAUAAAUAUAAAAAUAUUAUGAAUAGGAAACAAAAUAAAAUAUUAUCUAGGAAAAAGUAGAUUUUAAUUCACUAAUUUGAAAAAAUAUUAAAAAAAAAAAAAAACCUCAACUUUUAUAAAUCAAUUUUAUCUUCAUUAAUUUAAAAAUAUUUUAAAAUACAUACACUUUUAUAAUUGUUUUCAAAAAUACCCUUUUACUUAAUAAUAUUAAAUUAAAUUAUCAAAAAAAUAAUUUAUCAUAUAAAAAGUAUCUUACAUAUAAAUAUAUUAUAGAUUUUUUAUUAUAUAAUAUAAAACACAAAUCAUUUUGCAAAAAAUUAUGCAGUUCCUCAAGUAAUAAGUAAAAUUUUUUAAUUCCUUAAUUAAUAAUGAUUUUAUAUCCUAUAUUAUAUAAAUUCAAUCAUCUUCUCAUAUAUUUUUUUAAAAAUAAAAUAAAAUAGAAUAAAAAUUAUGUAAGUUGAAAUCAACAAUAAAAUAAGAAAUUUUAAAAAUUAAAAAUACGAUUAAAACUCAUAUACUUAAAAAUUAAAUCCAAUUAAAACAAAAAAAAUUAAAAAUUAAAUACAAUUAAAUCCAAAAAACUUAAAAAUUGAAAAAAUAAAAAUUGACUCUCAUUAUAUUUCAAACUCUUUCUGAAAUCUAUAUUUUUUAUUACUAUGAUUUAACUAAGUGAAAGUUAAUAUUUUAUUUUUAUAUUUUUAACUUUAAAGUUUUUUUAGUUUUAAUUUUAAAAUUUUUUAUUUUAUUGAUCUCAAAUCAGUUCUCACAUAAAAUUAUUAAUCUAUAUUAUUAACCUUAUAAGUAAAAUGUUAUUUUAGGAAAUAAUUAUUUGAAUUGUGAAAAUGUGCAUAUAUUUUAAAAUGUUUUUAAAUGGAUGAACAUAAAACUAAUUUAUAAAAGUUGAGGUUGAUUUUUCUAUAUUUUUUCAAAUUAGUAAAUCAAAACUCACUUUAUAUAUUAUUUAAGAUAUUAGUAUUUAUUUAUUUAUUAGAUUAUUAAUUAUCAUGUGAAUAUAUUUUUAUAUUAAAAACUAAUUUAUUUUAAUGCAUUAAUUACACAUAAUGUUAAAAUAAAAAUUUAAUAAAGAAUAUGAAAAAAAAUAAUGAAUAAAUGAAUUGUACUUUUAAAAAUAAAUUUUCCUUUUUUAAUUUAGUAGAUUUUUAAAAAUAGGGAAAAAUAUGAGAAUUAUUUUGAAAAAAAAAUCAAAAUUUAAACAAUGUAUUAUUUUGAACAAAAAUCAAAAUUUAAUAAUUAAAUAUAAAUAAUAAAAAUAUUUUGAUAAUAUUUUAAAUAAUAUAUUAUAUAAUAAAAAGUAAUUUUUAUACAAACUUAUAUUUAAAUUACGACACUACCCUUAAUUUUAUUUUUAUUUUUUAGAAUCAGGCCCAUAGACUUUGAUAGAAAUGGUCCUGAAGUCUCCUACCCCACCCUUCUUUUUUGCCAACAGAAAGCAGAAUACUCCCACUUAAACUUCAGAUUCCCCCACUUCUCUCUCUCAUAUACACACCUGUAACAUUGUAGAAACACACCAAGCUCCACAUUUUCUUGUGUGGCAGGCUUAAUUAAUUCUUCAGCCAUGUCCAGCUUAAUUCAUAAGGGCAUUCUCAAAACUGAAGCCCUCACAAAGGUAAGUUUCUUUAUGAGUUCUCUUUUUUUUUUGUGUGUGUUUUUAAUGCAGUUUGUUAGUAAUUUUCAGCAGAAAGGUUUGGGGUUUUGGUUAUCUCUGGGGCUAUUCAGAUGAUCUCUCUGUAAAAAUUAUAAUAUCCCAAUUCAAAGUUAUGUUGUUUGUUUUAUGAAAUUUUUUAGUAUUGAAAGGGAAGAGGAUGAGUAAGCCAAACUCCAUUAUGGAUUCCUAAUGAUUGAAAGGUGAAUCUUGAAGCAAUCUACAUGCUGAAGUCUUUUUUCCUUUGUUGUGUUAGAGUAUAUAUUGGAAACAAGUGCAUAUCCAAGAGAGCAUGAGCAGCUGAGAGGACUCAGGGAGGCCACUGUAGAAAAGCAAGAGUUUUGGUAUAUUUAUAUCUCUUCUUUUAAUAAUAACAUUUUUAAAAAUUUUAUAUUAUUAUGUAAUAUUCAUAUUAAUAAUCUUUUAGUUUGUAUUUGGAAGAUCCAAAUUAAGGUAAAGAGAAGGGACAUUCCUCUCUUUCUCUUAAUUCCUAUCCCUAUCUACCAAGUACCAAAUACACCUUCAUGCAAAUAUUCAUCAUUUUUUUUUUCUUAUUUACUUGAAUGUUGUGAGCAUGUGGCAUGCAGGAGCAUCAUGAAUGUGCCUGUUGACGAAGGACUGUUCAUUUCAAUGCUUUUAAAGCUCAUGAAUGUCAAGAAGACAAUUGAACUCGGAGUUUUCACCGGUUAUUCUCUCUUGGCAACCCCUCUUGCCCUGCCUCAAGAUGGCAAGGCAAGGCUCUCUAGAAAAGAAAAUAGUUUCCAAAUUUAGAAAAUAUUUUUGAAUUUCUGACAUAAAACAGUUUUAAGUUUUCAAAUAGGAUUUUGUUCUCGAAAACAAGUGAGGAUUAUUUUCAAGGAGUGUUUUUUGUGCAGAUAAUAGCUGUUGAUCCGGAUAAAGAAGCGUACCAAAUUGGAGUGCCAUUUAUCAAGAAGCCAGGUGUGGAGCAUAAGAUCAACUUCAUCCAAUCGGAUGCAAUGUCAGUUCUAAAUGAUCUCAUUGCCGAUGUAAGUGUCGUCUCUGUAGCCGCUGCCUUCAACCAAACACCUCUCAAUUUGAAUGGAUGUGUGCAGGGGAACGAAGAAGGGACAUUGGAUUUUGCGUUUGUGGAUGCUGAUAAGGAGAACUACCUCAACUACCAUGAGCUGCUGCUGAAGUUGGUUAGAGUUGGAGGCAUAAUCGCUUACGAUAACACUCUAUGGUUUGGUUCAGUAGCGCGAUCUGAAGAAGAAGAAAUGAUGGAUUUUGAGAGAGCAGGCAGAGUCCAUCUCAUGAAGUUGAACAAAUUCUUGGCAUCAGAUCCCAGGGUUGAACUCUCUCACCUUUCCAUUGGAGAUGGCAUCGCGCUCUGCAGGCGCCUCUAUUAGCCUAAAUCCAUUCUCUUGAGGUUUAGGGUUAGCUUAUGGUGUUGAUUUUUCAAUGAAGUCUUUUGACGGAUUUGUAUUUGUAUUUGUAUUUGUAUUUAUUUCAUUUUUUUUAUACUCUAAUCUCAUAUAUUUAUACUCAUGUCCGAUAAUUUAAAUUUCAUCAUAUAUUUUUAAUAAUCAAGAUUGUAAAUUCUAAAAUAUAAAAUCGAUAUCCUAAAUUUUUUUUUUAAAAUUAUUUAAUUUGAGUAGGACUCUCAUGAGUUAAACUUCUAGGACUUGAAUACUAUUCAUUCAUUCCUUUCAUAAUUUAUGCAUAUCAUUUGGUUCAACUACAUAAUGAACUCAAUAUCUAUUGAAAAAUAUCAUUAAUAUAUAGGAUGGUAUGAACUUGCAAGUCUUAUUACUUUAUACUUAAGUUUCAUUACUCUAUCACUCAUGUGUGGUCUCAUUACUUUAUACCGUUGAUACAUAUUUUUGUAUCUUGAUCCAUCAUUUUAUACGUUCAUCCCAAUUUUUAAUUUUUUUUAUACAUUAGUUCUAUUUGUUUGUAACUUGAUUUCAUAUAUUUAUACCCUUAUUUCAUUAUUCAGAUUUUAUUAUAUAUUUUAACAAUCGAGAUUCGAUCUUUGAUAAGUAUCGAGCAAUUUAGAACUAAUAUCUAUUAUCUAAUAUAAAAUUGAUAUCGAGCAAUUUAAUAUCUAUUAUCUGAACACCCAUUUGACAAUUAUAAUUGGUUUAAUCAAUUCUUUAAGUUUCAAAUUUAUAUCAAUUAUAUAAAUGGACUUACCUUUUAUAAAUAAUUUAUAAAAUUAAUAUAAGCUAUUAAUAAAAACCUUAUUUUUUUAAAAGAAAAAAAUUAUAAAAAUAGUCUAUUGAAUUUAUGCCAAAUAUUUCAACAUAAUGUCCACAAAUUAAAGAAGAGAAGAAGAAUAUAAUAAAAAGGCAAAUUCAUUACUUUGUAUUGCCAUUUCCAUUCAGAAUCAAUCCAUAUCCAAUGAAGAAAGCAAAAUUUUGGAAAUUGAAGCAUCUAAUUAUAGUGAAGAGUCCCAGUAUUGAGUGAGGUGAUGAUGUAAUGGAAUCAAUAGGAGAAAAAAGGUGGUAGAUUCCCUCUUGAAUGUCUCAAGUCUUUUUCUUACCAAAUUUGCACAUGUGAGUAAAUUUUGCACUAUUCAUUUUCCUUUUAUGGAUAGUUCCUUUAUCUCUCUCUCUCUCUCUCUCUCUCUCUCUAUAUAUAUAUAUAUAUAUAUAAUUUAUUUUGUUUAAUUUUACUUAGAACUUAAAGUAUAAGGUUGAUCUUAUUUAGUUUUUAUUAAAUAUAAAAUAACUUUUUGUACAAGUCAAAAUAUGAUUUUUACUGUUCUAACUUCUAUAUUCGACAUUUUUCUGAACUAUAAGUUUUUCUAAACAAAAUUAAUCAAAUAGGCAUAAAAGUUGGUAUGGACAAUAUGUUGAAACCCAAUUGCACAUUAUUAUGUAACUAUUAACAAAAUAAAUCCCAUUUUUGUCAACUUUUUAAUUAUAUUAGAUUAAUAAAUUUAUUAUUCUCAUUUAGUCAUUAAAAUAUUUUUAAAUAUUAAAACUUGAGUUUAGAGUUGUUAUUUGGCACAUCAACUUAAUGACUUAAUAACUUAGUGAUUUAACUUAUAUCAAUGUCAAAAUUUUUUUGUUAACAUAAUUUUAGAUGCAAGUAAAAGUAGGUUAGUUAUUUCGAUUUGAUACUUAAAAUCAUUUUUAACUUUAAGGUGCGAUAUUAAGAUAUUUUCACAAAAAUUUUGGGAUAGAUAUAAACUAAUUCAUUAAAUUACUUUAAGUUAUUAAGUUGAUUUAUCAAACAUCCUACUAAUAAAAACUCGUAAGAACCAAAGUUGCCCAUAGACUUGGCGGAGAUUAUGAAUUCCCAAACCAACCAUGAGUUGGGUUUGACAUGGAUUGGACAUAUUCAUAGGUUGAGUUAUCGCGUUAUCACGACACAUCGAGAAAUCCUUUUAACCAUGUGAGUUGCAGUUAUACUAUAUGUUUGCCAUAUAGCUCCUACUUGAUGGGAUUUCUUCCUUUUGGCUCACAUACACACCAGUAAAUAUAAUUCCUAGAAUAUGAUGGCAUGUAAAGAAGAUGUUUCUCUGAAUUGGAAUGAAAGAUCAGCAUCAUCUUUCACCCUCAAGUUUUUAUAUUCAUUGCUUUUGUACAAAAAGAUGAUCCUUCAGUGUUAGUUACAGUGCCCAAGAAUCAUAUUGUUUUAAUAUUUGCAAUAAUUUAUUUGUAAGAUUUGACACAUUGUUCUUACUUUGAAUGUAACAGUAAUGAGGAAGGGAUAGCUGGUAAGUCCAUUUCUGAAAGUAUUAGAUUCUGAGAAGAGGAAAUGGAUGCUUGCCUGCCCUUAUCGAUCUCCCAUCACUUUCUGGAGAUGCUUAUGAUUUGUUUAGUAUUCUCUUGUGAUUAACAGCUGAAAGGGUCACGUGGGGAUGGAGAUCAUCACCUGAAAAUGGUAAAAAAAGGGAAAUGAAUACUCGGAACUCGUGACGAUCUCUCAGGCUCCGCUAUGCUGAUGCAUGAAUAUGAGUUUAACCAUGGAUUCUGUCAUCCCCAAUUGCUGAAGACUGUCCUCCAACAAGAGGGAAAAAAAAGGGAUUUGUAAAGUUGAUGACAUGACUUGAGAAUUUUCUAUUGCCUAAUUCCCUAUUUUCUUGGGGUUGUUUGCCUCUCUAUGUGUGUAGAUAUAUAUAUAUGGAAGUAUACAACCUAAGGAGUUAGAAGAGGGGUGUCAGAAUAUACUUACUGGUUCAGUGCUGAAAUAACCAUAUAGUAGAGAUGAACUGCCAUGGACAACUCAAGGCUGUUGCUGCAAUGGUGGCUGUUAAUUUUGGAUUAUCAGUGGCGAAUGUACUUAUUAAGAUGAUCCUCGACCAAGGAGCAAACCAUUUGGUUGUCAUCACAUACAGACAGUCUAUUUCUACUGUUUUUAUAUCCACCAUCGCCUUCUUUCUGGAAAGGUAUAUUUGCCAUUUGCUCAAUGCCUAAAGCUGGCUAGCCAGCUAACUUCACUCAGUAUAUAAAGAUCUCAUGCAGAUAGUAUGUUUUUCUUGCAGGAAAAGCAGGCCAAAGCUCACAUUUCGGAUUUUAUGUCACAUUUUCGCUAGUGCCUUACUCGGGUUCGUUGUACUAAUCAUCGAUCCUCUUGAAUUACUACUCUCCGUAUUGUUGUUUUUGUUGAGAGCUUCUGAAAAGUACUGUGUUUUUCAGGGCAACUCUCACGCAAUACUUCUUCCUUCUUGGCCUUAAAUACACAUCUGCUUCUUUUUCUUGUGCUUUCAUCAACUUGGUGCCUGCAAUCACAUUCAUACUGUCAUUGGUAUUCAAGUAAGCAUAAAUCAUUAAGGUAUUCUUGUUCUUAUGAUUGUUGAGGGAAAAACAGUAGUUGUAAUUGUAUUGAGCUCUUUCAGGCUAGAGAAAGUGAACUUAGGAGGCAAGUGUGGGAGAGCUAAGGUGUUGGGGACAUUCAUUUGCAUUGGUGGAGCCUUAUUGCUGGGGCUUUACAGAGGGAUGCCAUUAACAAACCCUGCAUAUCCCCAAGCCGAAAUCCCUGGAACAAGCCAUGCCAAGACCAGCAUUUCAUCCCACAGGACAAAGAGCUGGGCCACCGGUUCAAUGGUUUUGACAGCAGCAAGUCUCACUUGGUCUUCAUGGUUCCUUCUACAAGCCGGAAUUAGCAAGAAGUACCCCUGCCAAUAUUCUAGUACCGCGAUAAUGUCCUUCUUCAGUGCCACCCAGGCAGCUAUCUUAAGUUCAAUUUUGGAUAGGGACCUCUCCUUGUGGAUUCUGAAAGGGAAGUUAGAGAUCUCUACUGUCAUCUUUGCUGUAAGUAUUCCCUCACAAUCCAAGUACUAAUAAGAAACCGGUAUUGCUUCAUGUGCUGCACUGUUCUUUAUGACAAUAAAUGGUUGCAGCAUACUUACAGAUUUCAAAAGCUCAUCAUUUCAUGUGUGGAUGCAGGGGAUUGUGGGAUCAGGCUUGUGCUAUGUGUUAAUGUCAUGGUGUGUAAAUAAAAAAGGCCCGGUCUUCACUGCAGCAUUCACCCCUUUCAUACAGAUAUUUGUAGCCAUCUUUGAUUUCUCUAUCCUGCAUGAACAAAUCCACCUUGGAAGGUUUUUUUUUCCCUUCGCCAUUCUCGAAAAAACCAGUCUCAUUUACAACAUAAUUACACCUUUCUAAGUUCCUAAUAUCCUCUACAUUUGUAAUGGACAGUGUUCUGGGAUCAAUCCUAGUCAUAGCUGGUUUGUACAUUCUUCUGUGGGGUAAAAGCAAGGAGGAAGAGGAUUGUGUGAUGAAGCAGUCCCAAGUAGCUGAAGAAGAUCCAGAAUGUGAUAUGGCCCCACAAGUUGUCCCAAUCACUGGAACUCAAUGAACCCUGAGUGAACCCGGGUUUUCAAAUAGCAUGUGCUUGAUGUACAAGAAAGAUAGAUUAUUAUGUGGCCAACUUGAAAGGACCUGCCAUAUGAAGAUCAUGAUAUCGAUCAAUUUCAAUGCUAACAAUAUUCCAGAGCAGAAUCACCAUGACACGUGCUUGAUAUACUAGAAAAAAACACAAAAUAAUACUGAUGCUGACUAGUAUCUUAUCAUUGCAUGAAAAAUUUUCUGAUUUGAGCCAUGUUUCUGACUGUUCUACAUGAACUAGAAUCCUAUGCCAUGAAUUGUUCAGUAUUCCUCUCAGGACUAAUGGCUUACUGCUUUGGCAACAAUGACACAUUGGCCUCACCCUUGAAAAGCACCCAUGGCCAUUUGUCAUUGCUUAUAUCAUCAGCAACGCAUGGGAUUCCAGUCUUUUGGUGCUUGGAUGCCUCCACCCAUGUCUUGCCACACCCACCUCCACAGACAGCAUACCCUCCUACUGUCUUUAUUUGGUAGAUAAUGAUGAUGAGGAGUAGGACGAAGAAGGGAUGUAGCAGGAUUCUUUAUAGCAUAUAUAGAUAUCAAAUCCAAAUAAAAAAUAGGAAAGAAAGCUUGUAAAAGUUUCCUGAUGACGUUCACGUACAUAUAUGCCUGUAAGCUCACUAAAGUUUAAAGAGACGACUAACCUUUCCCACCUUUAAUUACUGCAUCCAGAUCCUCCAAGGAACAAAUGUUAAAAUGAUAAAGAAUGGAUGCUUGAGAGCUUUAUAAACUAGAUGCUUAUUAUGUCAUUGUAUAUGUAAAACGCUGGCCAACAGUCCAGAUGUGAAUCAUGUUCAGCCAUCAAAUAUUUUGUAAGUUAAUCCAGUAAAGAAUUUAUGCUUCCUUCAAAACUUUAUGACACGAAGAUAAACUUAUAAACACUAUACAUUAUGGAUAGAUAUAUGAAGAAGAAUGAGUCAUAUUCGAGUGAAAUGAAAAGAGUAGAGAAGCAUGAGAUUUCUCUGGACUUGAUAAUUUAAUUUAAUUUUUUGCCUUUUAUAAUAUUCUAUAUAUUAUAACAAAAUGAUAUUUUUCAUUUGUGGAGGUAGAUAUGAUUAAUCGAAUCCCAUGAAGACCUAGUGCAUUUUUGGAUAUGAAUCAUUUUAUCUUUGUAUUUUUACUUUUGUUGACAUAACAUCAUAAAUCAUAAUUCUUUACAUUCUUUACAUGUGUGGAUGAAUUUAUAAAAACUAUAUAUAUAAUAAAUAGAGAUAUGAUAAAGAAUGAUAGACAAUUAACUGAUGAAAAAACAAAAGAUAUUUCAGAUUCAAUAAUUAGAUCUAAUUUCUAUAUUCUUAUUUUCUAUAAAAUAAUAGAAUCAUCUUUCUCAUAUGUGAAAGAAGAUGAUAUUGAUCCGAUCAUAUUAAAACCUUGUACAUUUUCAUGUAAAUUAUUAUUAUUUUAUCUUUGUAACAAAACAUGAUAAUCCUAAUUUUCAUGUGCAUCCAUUUUUUUGAGUUUUGGGUCAAAAUGACCCAUUUAUUAAAAAAAAAUAUAAGAUCUAACCAUUUUAUGAAACUCAUGUUCAAAUUGGCCUUUUUAGUGCCACAUAAGAGCCACGUCAUAAGAAAUAUAUAUAUAUAUUUAAUUUUAGUUAAAGUCUCAAUUGGCAAUUGAGACUUCAUUUUUGAAAUAAAGCCGUAGUUGUCAACUAAAACUUCAUUUUUUAACUGAAGUCAUAGUUGCUAUAAGAGGUUUUAGUUUUUGAAUUGAAAUCGUAAUUGCCAAUUGAGACUUUAUUUUUAAACUGAAACCUCAGUUAACAAUUGAUGCUUCAUUUUUUAACUAAAGUCACAAUUGCUGCCAAUUGAGACUUCAGUUAUUUUUUUUAAAAAAUUUAAAAUUUAAUUAAAAAUUAUUAAAUUAUAAUUUAUUAUUGAAAUUAAAAAAAAUACACUUAAAUAAUAAAUUAUUUAUAUUUAAACUUAAGAAUCUAGUAUUACUUCAACAAACAUAAAUUGAUAAAUAGAAGAUAUUAUAAAUAAAUAUUUUAUUUAUUAAUAAAUUAAUAAUCUUAAAAUAAUAAAUUUAUAUAACAUAUAAAUAAGAUAUAAAAUUGUAUAAUUUAUUAAUUUAAGAUAUUUAAUUUGUUGUUUUUUAAGAUAUUAAUUUAUUUGUAUUAUGAUAAAUUUAUUUUUAUUGAAAUAACAAUAUACUUUUAAGUCGCAGUUGCCAACUGAGAUUUUAAUUUUUUUUUUAAUUUCAAAUUUAAUUAAAAACUAUUAAAUUACAAUUUAUUAUUGAAAUUAAAAAUAUAUACUUUAAUAAUAAUUUUUUUAUGUUUAAACUUAAGAAUAUAGUUUUACUUCAACAAACAUAAAUUAAUAAAUAGAAAAUAUUAUAAAUAAAUAUUUUAUUUAUUAAUAAAUUAAUAAUCUUAAAAUAAUAAAUUUAUAUAACAUAUAAGUAUAAUUUAUUAAUUUAAGAUAUUUAAUUUUUUUUAAGAUAUUAAUUUAUUUGUAUUAUGACAAAUUUAUCUUUAUCAAAAUAAUAGUAUACUUUUAAACCGCAGUUGACAUAUAUAGAAUUUUUGACAAAAUUAGUUAAUGAGAUCCAUUAGAAAAAGUUUACUACAAAAUGUAAUUUUUAGUAGUUUAAUCAAAGUCACAACAAAUACCCAUUAAACAUUAUAUAGUAGAAAAAAAAACAUAUAUAAUUUCACAUGCCUCCACAAUGAGAGAACCUAUGUGUAACUGGUACUCUCUUCAUUUUUGGUCGUUUUUCUCUAAAUAUAGCAUGUACUGCAUGUGACACAUGAAGAACAUCUGUCUGUGAUGGAAUUGGAGCUGGAAAUAGAGGUGGUGGUGGAGGUAGCAAUCUAAGUCAACGUGGGCCCCGCCUACCUCUUGGAAUGGCUGGCGGCAAAUCUAGUUGAGUAGAUGUGUCAAUCUGCAUAGGCAUAGAGACAAAUAUAGAUGUCUUUGGUGAUGGUAGAACUGAUGUCCUAAACUUAGGUCCUAAUGGAGUAGCUAAGGAAGCAUUUAUGUGCAAUGAAAAAUGAUCGACAUAUGGGGUAAAAGGCACUGAAAGUGGAUCUGAAGAGGUAAGUGGUGGUAGGUCUGAAGAGAUAGGAGGCUGCACUGAUGAUAGGUCUGAAGAGAUGGGUGAUUGUACUAAUAGUAAGGAUAAAAAGUGGGCCUUGAAAUUAACCCCAAUUUGAGAAACUUAUCUUAAAUUCUCCACCAGAAGGCUUCACCCUCAAUCAAUUUCCAAACCUCAUUAUCUUGAGAGGGACACGUGGACGAACCCUCACAUGUGUGGUAUACAACCCCCAUUAAAAGUUAUAUAUAUGCCUACCCCAUUCAAAGUUUCAACUUCCAGUGGGUGGAAUAAUGAAGUUAUAUAUGUACCUACUCCUAUUAAAAGUUAUAUAUAUACCUACCUCCAUUCAAAGUUUCAACUUCACACUUUUUUUUUUUUAAUAGGAAGGAAAUGACUCACCUUUCUCAAACUCCGUAAAUUUUUUUUUUUUUUUAAAUCACCUUAAUAUUUGAAGGAUAAUUUUUAAUAAAUUUAAAUAUCCAUAAAAAUAUAUAAAUAUUUAAAAUUUAACCUUCAUAUAAUCAAGUCGUAAUUCAAACAGAAAACGGUAUUAUAUUUUGAUAAUAUUUUAAAUAAUAUAUUGUAUAAUAAAAAAUAAUUUUUAUACAAACUUAUAUUUAAAUUACGACACUGCCCUUAAUUUGUAUUUAUUUAUUCAUUUUUAUACAUAGGAUAAUGCCCAUCGACUCUAUGAUAGAAGAAACGGUCCUGAAGUCUCCUACUCCACCCUUCUUUUGGGCCGACAGAAAAGAGAACACUCCUACUUAAACUUCAGAUUCCCUCACUUCUCUCUCUUAUACUCACAUCGUAGAAAUAAACCAAGCUCCUCAUUUUCUUGUACGGCAGGCUUAAUUCAGUCUUCAGCCAUGUCCAGCUCAAGUCACAAGGGGAUUCUCAAAACUGAAGCCCUCACAAAGGUAGGUUUCUUUAUGAGAGUAUAUCUUAUAUUUCUAUACCGAAGAUAUGUCUACAAGGUCUUGAAUUGAAAUGAAAAAUAUGGAGUCCUGAUGAUUAAAAGGUGGAUCUUGAAGUAAUCUACAUGCUGAAGUUUUUUUCCUUUGUUGUGUGACAGUAUAUAUUGGAAACAAGUGCAUACCCAAGAGAGCAUGAGCAGCUGAAAGGCCUCAGGGAGGCCACGGUAGAAAAGCAUAAGUAUUGGUAAUAUUCAUAUUAAUAAUCUGAGUUUAUAUUUGGAAGAUCCAAAUUGAGGUAUAGAGAAGGGAUGUUAUUUAAAAUUAAUCAGCUUGAAUCCUCAAAAUUAUUAUUAUUAUUUUAAUUAUUUUUAGUCCUUUUCUCAAACCUAGUUUUUUCCCCCUUCAAUUUGAAUUAUCGAAAGUGCAAGAAAAAGAGAAAAAAAAAAUUUAUUUAAUGAGUAUUCAAGAAAAAUGUUUCUACUAAAAAUAUUUCAAAUAGAAACAUUAUCAAAGUGUGUUUGAUAGUAAUUUUAAUUUUUUUAAUAUUUAAAAAAUAAAAAUUUUCAAAUAUUAAAAAGUUUAGAAACACUUCUUAGAAUUAUUAAACGCAUUCUAUUGUUUUCAAUUUUUCUAAUACUUGAAAAAUAAAAUUUUUUUAAUGUUAUAAAUAUUAAAAACAUUUUUUAAAAUCAUUAUCAAACGCACUCUAAGUAUUUUUUAUCAUUUAUUAAUUAAUACAAAUUUUUAAGUGUUAAAAAAGUUUGGAAACCCUUUCUUAAAUCACUGCAAAAUGGACGCAAUCUCCAAAUAUCACAUUUUUCUUCAAACAAUUUUCUCCUUUUUGUUUUUUUUUUUUUUUCUCUCCCAAUAAGUUGUUUUCUUCUCUAUUUUUCAAUUUCUCUGACUUAUUUUAUAGUUUGGACUGAACCUCAGCCAUUGGAUUGGCCUCAAAAUAAGCCCAGCCCAGCCAAACCGAGUCCACUAAAAUCUCUGGCAAUAGGCAGGCAUAAAGGUGAUAGGCAUAUAUUAAGGGAAACUGUGAUAUUUAUUUUUAUUUUUAUUAAUUUUUUAAUAAAAAUGAGAGUAAGAAUUAAAAAUUCGCUAUCAUAUAAAUCAAAAUUCAUUUUUUCAUCAUUUUAUUUCCAUUCCACAAUAAAUAAGAAUGGAAACAAAAAUAUUCAUUCUCAUUCCCAAUUUCUGAGUGCCAAACAACCCCUUAAUUCACUCUCAUUCUCAUUCUCAUUCUCAUUCCUAUCCUAAUCUACAGUGCAUUAAUAAUUUAAUUCCUAUGUGGCAUGCAGGAGCCUGAUGAAUGUCCCUGUCGAUGAGGGACAGUUCAUUUCAAUGCUUCUAAAGAUCAUGAAUGCCAAGAAGACAAUCGAGCUCGGAGUGUUCACCGGUUAUUCUCUCUUGGCAACAGCUCUUGCCCUGCCUCAAGAUGGCAAGGCAAAGCUCUCUAGAAAAGAAAAUAGUUUUCAAAUUUAGAAAACAUCCUUGAAUUUCAGACAUAAAAUAGUUUUUAAAGAAUAUAUUCAACUGUUCUUCGUAUUUAAGUUUUCAAAUAGGAUUUUGUUCUCGAAAACAAGUGAGAAUUGUUUUCAGGAAGUGUUUUUUGUGCAGAUAAUAGCGGUUGAUCCAGAUAAAGAAGCGUACCAAACUGGAGUGCCAUUUAUCAAGAAGGCAGGUGUGGAGCAUAAGAUCAACUUCAUUCAAUCAGAUGCAAUGACAGUUCUAAAUGAUCUCAUUGCCGAUGUAAGUGUCUUCUCCGUAGCUCGGGCCACCGCUGCCUUCAACCAAACACCUCUCUAAAUGAAUGAAUGAAUGAAUGUGUGCAGGGGAACGAAGAAGGGACAUUGGAUUUUGCGUUUGUGGAUGCUGAUAAGGAGAACUACCUCAACUACCAUGAGCUGCUGCUGAAGUUGGUUAGAGUUGGAGGCAUAAUCGCUUACGAUAACACUCUAUGGUUUGGUUCAGUAGCGCGAUCUGAAGAAGAAGAAAUGAUGGAUUUUGAGAGAGCAGGCAGAGUCCAUCUCAUGAAGUUGAACAAAUUCUUGGCAUCAGAUCCCAGGGUUGAACUCUCUCACCUUUCCAUUGGAGAUGGCGUCGCGCUCUGCAGGCGCCUCUAUUAGCCUAAAUCCAUUCUCAUGAGGUUUAGGGUUUGCUUAUGGUGUUGAUUUUUCAAGGAAGUCUUUUGACGGAUUUCCAUUUGUAUUUGAACUCAUGUCCAGACUCUGUUUUGGGAAUGAAUUUCUGCUUCAAGUUUAAAUUGAAAAUUUUGGACACUGCCACUGAUGUAUCUAUUAGGAAUACAUCUCCUUCCUGGCUUUACAGAGAGAGCGGAGAGGUUGUAUCAAAAGAGUGCCUUGAUUUGUUCCAUUGAGUCCUAGAACAAGGUUUCAUUCAUUCUCCCUUGGACGACCUCUCAAUUUGGUUCUUCAAGCCAUGUCGAAGAGUGGCCUAGAUGUGGGCUUAAAAAAGACUUUUUAUGGUCGGAACUUAUAUGGGCCUAGCACAACACUGUCGACUUAUGAUAUGAAGGACUUGUUUGGAAACAUUUUAAAACAAUUUUUUAGAAUAAUUUUAGAAAACAGUUUUUUUUUUUAUUUUAUGUUUUCUAUAAUAAAAAAUUGUUUAGAAACUUAAAAUAUUUUUAACCUAUUCUUAUAUUUUUAAAUAAAUCUUAAAAUUAAUUUUUAGAUGUAACAUUUUAUUUUUUAAUUAUUUUCUAUAUUUAUAUCAUUAUAUUUCAAAAUAACCCUAAAAAAUAAGUGAACAAAUUAAAUAUAAUUAGAAAAUACUCUAUUUUUAAAAUACAUGGAAUUUUUCAUAAGUGGGAUAAUUAUUAUCUAAAAUGACUUUUUUAUUUGUCAGGUUGAUAACACCAAUUGACAAUUUAAAAUAUAUAUAUAUAUAUAAAAUACAAUUAAAACUUAAAAAAAAACUUUAAAAUAAAAAAUUGACUUUUACUUUGUUAAAAUACACUAGUAGAAAAUAUAGAUAUCAAGAAAGAGUUGAAAAUAUAAUAGGAGUCAAUAUUUUAUUUUAUUUUUAAAGUUUUUUGGUUUUAAUUGUAUUUAAUUUUUAAGUAUUUUAGUUUUAAUUGCAUUUUAAUUUAAAAAAAAUUAUUUUAUUAUUGAUGUCAAUUAAAAAAAAUUAUUCAAUUUUGAUUAAAAAAAAAAUUAAAAGAUGAGUGAAUUUAUAUAACACAGGAUUUAAAAUCAUUAUUAAUUAGGGAAGUGUAAAUAUUUUAUUUAUGAUUUGAGGAUCCAGAGAAUUUUUACACAAUGAUUUGCAUCUCAUAUUAUAUAAUAAAAAAUUAUAAUAUAUUUGUUUAUAAGAUACUUUAUCAAAUUAAAAUGAUAAAUUUAUUUAAUAUUAUCAAGUAAAAAGGUAUUUCAGGAAAUAAUUAUUUGAUUUAUGAAAAAAUGAGUGAAUUUAAAAAAAUUUUAAAUUGAUGAAGAUAAAAUUGAUUUAUAAAAGUUGGAGUUCUUUUUUUUAUAUAUUUUUUAAAUUAAUGAGUCAAAACCCAUUUUUUUCAAUUAUUAUUAUUGUUAUUAUUAUUAUUUUAAAGUAUUUUCCUAAAGUCAUUCCAAAAGUAGUUGGCAUGUUAUUUUGAGUUUUGGGGUAAAAUAGUCAUUUUAUAAAAAAAAAUAAAAAAAAAAAUAUAAGGUUAACCACUUUGCAAAAUUUUUGUUCAAAUUAAUCCUUUUAUUGUCAUGCAGAGUCCAAUGAAAAAAAAAAAAAAAAAAUUUUCAAAAUUUAACUUGAAGUCUUAUAUGCCAAGUAAGGCUUCAUUUUUUAGCUGAAAAUGAAAACAAGAUGGAGAGAAUGGGAAAGGUGGGGGAAAAUAAAGUAAAUUAAAAUAAUUAAAAAUAAAAAUUCUGAUUGACGUGAUCCAAAUGGGCUAGUUUAUAAGUUUCAACAGCAGUCCGAUAUGCAUGCAAGGAAUGAUAGUUGGUAGAUAUUUUGAAUGUAAAAGAGGAAGAAAAAGACUAUAUAUAUUAUAUUAGGGUGGUUUCUGGCAAUUCUAACUCCCACAAAUUGCUCCUCCGAUCUCUUAUUUUGGUUGGAUCAAGUUGAUUCAACUUGACUUAGACACCCACCCAACUCUAGCAAUUAUAAAGAUUAAAAAAAUUAUAAUGAAAAUGUUAAAUGAAAUUAUAAACAAGUGUAAAACUAAAUUUUAAUUUAUUUUUUAUAUUAUAGACAUAUUAUAAUUAAAAUUCAAUUAAUUAAGAUUUUAAAAUUUAAAAGUUAAAAAUUAAAGCAAUUAAAAGUACUAUAUUUAUAAAUUUAAAAUUUUAAAUAGGUUAAAUGAGUUAGAAUCAUAUUAAUAAGUUAAUCAAGUUAGAAUCUUUUGUUGAAUUCAAUAGAUUAUAAUUGUAUUAAGAGACUUGAUAUGCCCUAAUUGUAGCAACCUGUUUUAGUUUGGUUAUUUGCCCAAUAUGACUAUCAUAAGUACUAAGGUUGAACUUAGAAACCACAUCUAUAGAAAAAUGUUGCCAAUGGAUCUCCUUAUUACCAACCUCGUACCCUUGAAACCAUUCUAAGGCUCUUCCUUCUAAAUGUAAGGAAGUCAAUCCUACCUUCUCAUGAUCUCCAAUUCCAUUAAAUUUUAAAAAAUCUAUCACAUUUCUAAAUCCACCUACUUGGAUUCUCACCUUCAAAAGUUGGGAAAUUGAGUUUGGAAAACUUAGUUUGAAGAAAGUUUGUGCCUUGUGAGUGAUAGUCUGUCUCGUUUAUGUUGAUUGAAGCACUAUCCCCAUUCCUAGACUCCUCCUUUCUAGAAGUAACUUAUUUGAGUUUCAGGUUUAUUGUUGCAACCAUUCUCGAUAGUUUCUUAAUUUUAGCAACUUUUCUUCUUCAAGAAGUUUUACCAACAACAACAACAACAUAAUAAUAAUAAUAAUAAUAAUAUAAAGAUUAAUUUCUUUUUUUAGGAAACUUAUCCCUAAGAGAAUAUCUACAUAUAUAUAUUUUUUAUUCUUUUCUGACUUAGAGACUUAAUUUCAUAAUCUUUCAAAUUUGUGCAACAUGUCUAAUAGGCCCAAAUUUUAUUGGACCAUAAAAUUACCUCUCUUUUUUUAAGAUUAAAUUUAAUGACAAUUUAAUUCACUCAAUUUUUUAUGUCUACAAAUACGUGUCAAUUACAUGAAUUGACAUGUGCAUGGGGUGGGCCUUGAAAUUAACCUCAAUUUGAGAAACCUCUCUUAAAUUCUCCACCAGAAGGCUUCACCCUCAAUCAAUUUCCAAACCUCUGUAUCUUGAGAGGGACACGUGGAGGAACCCCCACAUGUAUGGGUUGUAUACAACCCCCAUUCAAAGUUAUAUAUAUGCCUACCCCCAUUCAAAGUUUCAACUUCCAGUGGGUGGAAUAAUGAAGUUAUAUAUGUACCUACUCCUAUUCAAAGUUAUAUAUAUAUCCCCCCCAUUCAAAGUUUCAACUUCACACCCUUUUUUCUUCUUUUUUUUUUCUUUUAAUAAAAGGAAAUGACUCACCUUUCUCAAACUCCGUAAUUUAAUUUUUUUUAAAUCACCUUAAUAUUUGAGGGAUAAUUUUUAAUAAAUUUAAAUAUCCAUAAAAAUAUAUAGAUAUUUAAAAUUUGACCUUCAUAUAAUCAAGUCGUAAUUUGAUAGAAAGCAGUAUUAUAUUUUCGAUAUUUAUGUGCUAAAAUCUUCACCCAAUCUUCACUCAUAUAAAUUGGUUUGACUUGAAUGUAUAAUGGUGUUCAAGUUUUAAUAUUUAAUUAAAAUCAAAAUAAUAUUUGACAUUUAUACAAACAAAUUAUGACCUUAAUGCUAUGUUAUACUUUUAGGCUUAAGUGUUAAGGUUUUUAUUCAUGCGAAUUGACCUAACUUAAAUGCAUACUAAUGUUAGACUAUAAAUACUUUUUUUUCAUUUCUCACCCACCCCUGAAAUAAAGAGCUAGGCAAUUGCCCCGUUGAGCCUUUUUGACUGUUUAAAAAAAUAAUUAGGCAAAUAGGAAAUAUGAUAAAAAUAAAAAAAGUACAUAUAAAAAAUUAUUUUUAAAAACAUAAAAAACAGGUUAACCAAAUGAAAAUUGAUCCACCAAUUUUAAAACAAUAGAAACAAGUUAAAAAAAUUAUUCAACAAAAUAUUGAUUUUUGGAGGACUAGAAGCCUACUUAAUUUUGAAAAAAAAAAAAAUUGAUUCACAAAAAAUUAAACAUUCAACAAAAUUUUAAAUUAUAUUUAAAUUUUUAAAUAAUCUCUUUAAUUGAUUUGUUUGGAUUAGAUCUAUAAGUAUUUCAAAAAUCACGUUUUAAUUGUCAAAAAAUUCUUUUAAAAUAUACUUUUUGCACUUCUUUUUAACCAACAUAUAACAACAAUAAUAAUGUUUACAAAAAUAUAGGUCUUAUUUUGGUAACUAUUUUUCCAAAAUAGUUUUUUAAAAAUAAUUUUUGAAAAUCAUUCUUUAAUAUUUUAUAAAAAAACAAGUAAACCUAAGAUGUUGUUAACCCAUUUUUAAUGUUUUUAAAAAUAAUUUUUAUAUUCAAUAUUUUGUUUUUAAUCAUUCUAAUCGCUUUUAUAAUUAUUUUUAAAAUAGUUUUUAAAAAAUAAAUAAAAAAUAUUAUCUGAAAACAUCUUUCACAAUAGUCGUCAAAUGUAUUUUCUAUUUUUUUAUUCUCAAAAACAAAAGACUAUUUAAAAAAAAAUUAUAAAACAGGCCCAUAAUACCCUCAAAGACUUUUCAUAAUAAUUUUAAAACUUUUCUAAAAAAAUGGAAAUAUUAAAACAUUUUCAUCAUAUCAAAUUAAAAUAAAAGCAAAAAAUUAUACUCAAAUCAAAACAGUGUUUUAUAUGAAAAUAUUAUAAAUUAAAGAGAAAAUUGUGUUUCGGGAGGCCCAUUUCAAGGUAAUAUUGUUUUCGAAACCCAAGUUUGCAUAACCCAAGAUAUGUCCACUAUUUGAAGAAAAUUUUUCCUUUUCAUGCACUCUGGUCUUAGGUGUUAUUUCAUACCCAAAAUUGGUCUUACCCUUAGGCCAGCUCAGCGUCUAUAUCAGGAACCUAAAAAGCCCAAAAUCCAUGUCAGCCAAGACAUAAUUUAGUAAAGAUUCAUAUGUGAAUUGGAAAAAAAAUGAAAGCUGAAAGACGAUCACAAAAAAGACCCGAACCCGGCUGAGCUUUCAUUGAUUUUCAAGGGCAUGAGGUAUGUGGGUCAUCGUGAAUCAUGUUUUUCUUCAGUGGGUAUGGAUUAUUUUCGAAGUGUUUUAUGAUCUUCUUGCUCUUAUCAUGGGUUUCUUUGGAAACUUGAAUGAUAAUGGUGUUGGUUUACAAUAUAUCCGAAAUUGUCGAAUGAUAGUUUGAUUGCAUUCUUGUGGGGUUUUUCUAUUUGUUUAUUUUUUUUCUUUUAUUAAUUGUGUUGCAAUUUGUGGUUUCGAUGCUGCCAAUUUUUUCUUCUUGUGGUAGGAUCCCAAUUCGAAGCAUUUACGAACCACGAUUUGGGAUGCAUCAAUGGUAUUUUGUGAAAUUUCUGGUAAUGUCUAUUAUUCAUUUGAGAAUUUUAGCAUUAUUUUCAUCCAUGGGUUACGAAUUCAAAAUUGUUGAUCUGUUGAGUUGUGUUCAAUUUCUAUGCAAUCUGGGUCUUGAGGGCAAGGGCAGGGUUUCCACCUCUUGGUUUUGUAGGGGGCUCAACCUUUGAAGUCCUGUUUUAAGUGCCUUUAAGCCAUUAAUCAGGAUUUAGUUGCUUAUUCCCAGUGAGGGGAAGAACUAGAGUCUUAAGAGAAAGUUGCUAAAAUCAACUGUUAUAUUUCCUGAGAGAAAGAGUUGCUUAAAGUGGUUUUCUCAAGUUGAGAGUUGCCCAAAGUAGUGCCCUUCCUCUCCUGUGCAUGAGAGUAUCAUAGCGAUAAGAGAAAUUCCUGGUGUUCUUGCUGAUUUGCUUAUCAUAAUAGUAGUUUUUGGAUGCAAUCCCCUUUCUUUUGAUCUCUUUUUUCUGAUUUUAUCUUAGUUUUAGAUCUCAGUUUGAGUGUUAGCAAGGAGUCGUACCCUACAGCUCCCAAUUCUUAGUAAUUGGGAUAAGGCCUUGUUAAGGUGUAUUCUAUAAUAGAACAUUGCAAUAAUGAAAUUGCAUAGAUGGAUUCAGGCCUCAUUUUGCACAAUUUGUAUUCUUUUUUGCAUCAAAGCACUUUAAACCAGAAGAAAUUUGGGACUAUACCUUAGGUACUACCUUAGUGGCCUUUAGGUACUACCUUAAGAGCCCCUAGGUACUAUCUUAAGGGCCCCUAGGUACUACCUUAGCUAAACCUCAACUCAACCUCUCCCAAGCCUCAGACCUUCCUCUCUUACCCUUACACCAUCCCAUUAUGUGCUUCUCUUGAGUGCUCAAGUGGUCCACGAGUGCUUUUUAGGGACUGUACUUUAGGUACUAUCUUAGUGGCCUUCAGGUACUACCUUAGUGGCCUUCAAGUACUACCUUAGCUAAAGUUAUAAUAUAUUAUUAAUUAAGGAAGUAUAAAUAUUUUAUUUAUGAUUUGAGAAUCCAGAGAAUUUUUACACAAUGAUUUGUAUUUCAUAUUAUAUAAUAAAAAAUUAUAAUAUAUUUAUUUAUAAGAUACUUUAUCAAAUUAAAAUGAUGAAUUUUUUUGAUAAAUUUAUUUAAUAUUAUCAAGUAAAAAGGUAUUUCAGGAAAUAAUUAUUUGAUUUAUAAAAAAAUGAGUGAAUUUUAAAACAUUUUAAAAUUGAUGAAGAUAAAAUUGAUUUAUAAAGUUGGAGUUCUUUUUUUUUAUAUAUUUUUUAAAAUUAAUGAGUCAAAACCCACUUUUUUUCAAUUAUUAUUAUUAUUAUUAUUAUUAUUAUUAUUAUUAUUAUUAUUAUUAUUAUUAUUAUUUUAAAGUAUUUUCCCAAAGUCAUUCCAACUAAGUAGUAGGCAUGUUAUUUUGAGUUUUGGGGUAAAAUAGUCAUUUUAUAAAAAAAUAAAAAAAUAAAAUAUAAGGUUAACCACUUUGCAAAAUUUUUGUUCAAAUUAACCCUUUUAUUGUCAUGCAGAGUCCAGUCACAAAAAAAUUUUUAUUUUUCAAAAUCUAACUUGAAGUCUUAUAUGCCAACUAAGGUUUCAUUUUUUAGCUGAAAAUGAAAACAAGUUGGAGAGAAUGGGAAAGGUGGGGGAAAAUAAAGUAAAUUAAAAUAAUUAAAAAUAAAAAUUCUGAUUGACGUGAUCCAAAUGGGCUAGUUUAUAUAUAAGUUUCAAAAGCAGUCCAAUAUGCAUGCAAGGAAUGAUAGUUUGGUAGAUAUUUUGAAUGUAAAAGAGGAAGAAAAAGACUAUAUAUAUUAUAUUAGACACCCACCCAACUCUAACAAUUAUAAAGAUUAAAAAAAUUAUAAUGAAAAUGCUAAAUGAAAUUAUAAACAAGUGUAAAACUAAAUUUUAAUUUACUUUUUAUAUUAUAGACAUACUAUAAUUAAAAUUAAAUUAAUUAAGAUUUUAAAAUUUAAAAGUUAAAAAUUAAAGCAAUUAAAAGUACUAUAUUUAUAAAUUUAAAGUUUUAAAUAAGUUAAAUGAGUUAGAAUCAUAUUAAUAAGUCAAUCAAGUUAGAAUCUUUUGUUGAAUUCAAUAGAUUAUAAUUGUAUUAAGAGACUUAAUACGUUAAAAUUUUGUUCACGGGUUUUUGGGUUAAUUCAUACUUAGUUCAACUUAAUCUCAUCAAUUAACGGAUUAAAUGAAAAAAUUGUAUUUAUGUCAAGUUAUUCUAACAUGAUUAUGAAACAGACCCUAUUCGAGUGUAAUAAAUUUUCAUUAUUUUGUAAUUAUCAGAACAAGGGAUGAGAAUUGUUACCCGUAAUCCUCGUGCAUACCAAGUACCAACAACCUUCCUCAUUGCAGUCCAUUUCCAAUGGGAGAAGCAUCCCACCGGACGCCUUUCACUGGCUUUGUUUUGCUCAUUGCACUCAUAUUAAUAAAUCGAAUGGAUGAGGUCAAUAUUGAAGUUGAGACAUGAAACUUACUUGCAGAGUAGCUGUCACAUUGUAGUAUUGUACUUGGCUAGCUUCCUGCAAUUUACAGCAAUUCACAUGGAGCCAUGAAUUCCUCAUCUUUACCAACAAGCUUCCUCAAAGCUAAAUCAAAAUUUGUAUCACAUUCUAAUAUAUACUUGAUAUCUUCCACUUGAGAGUUCCAUGGGAUUUUCCACUAGACCUAUAGAAACAAGUUUAAAAUUCAUUUAAAACUUAUUAGAUGUUGUUGUACAAAGAACUUAUGUUAUGUUUGCUUCUCAUAAAAUUUGAAAAAAAAUUAUUAGAAAUAUUUAUAUGACAUGAAGAUAACCUUCUUAACACUAUACAUGAAGGGCUUUUCAGCCAGGAAGGAAGCUCAGAUAUGAGUAUGACUAUCCCCAACAGUGAAGCUCUUCAAAAGGUUGAUUUCUUUUGUUGCACUACUCUUACAAUGUAGUAACUUAGAAUGGAAAAUGUCCUCUCCUUUUUUCUUUAUAAAAUCAAGAAUGUUUAUUGAAAUUUGUAGAAGGGAAAAUGUCAUUAUUUUUUCUGAUAAAAAAAAAAAAUUGAGGAGAGAUUCCUCUCCUUUAAUAACACUGCACAAUCAACUCCAUUUAUGGCUUCCAUUAAAGUUUUUAAUAUUUUUAGAUAUUGAAUCCAUCGGUUGAUGAUAUGAAAGCCAUCUCAGAUGGAGAAAUUAUUUGGAGUUAGUUUUGGUUUACAAGUCACUUGAGGUCGAUUAUUGUAACUUCAUAUAUCUAUGCUACGUAUAAUUUUACAAGUGGGCCUAUAUUUUUUUUCUUUUCAAAAUGCCCACUGGAUAUCAAUCUAUUCCCUUUCUAAUCUAUUUCUCUUAUAUGUGAAGGGAAUUAAGACGAAUUCCCAACUUGUGAGAAAUAAAAAAAAAAAUAGAGAAAACACACACCAAAGAAAAAUAAUCACACGCACAAGACGGUAUUUACGUGGUUCGGCAAUUUGUCUACGUCCACGGAGUUGCAGGGAUAUCACUAUUAUCAAGGAAGAAUACAGAAUACUUCUAUCGGCUACAAUACUUUCUCUCUUUAUAUAACACAGCAACCACACCACAUUGAAAAACCCUAAUUACAAAAGACGGUUCCACAAUGGGCUAAACGGGCCUAUCGGCCCAAGCCUUCACUCCAUGGACUAAGCCUCAGUAAAUCUCCCAUUAAAAACCACGCAAUAUUAUUCAGGUCGGGUUGCCAAACCAGAUCAAACAAAACUAGGCUCCACAAAGCCCAAUAAAUAUCCCACUUGGAGACUAGUUCAAUCACCAACAUCAAACCGCUAUCUUCCAAGAAACAAUCCCUUAUCCCUAUAACUCAUUCUCCUGUCCUCAAGCUAGAAGACCAAUUGAAGCUGCGCACAGCUUCAACUUCUCAAUAGUGACACCCUUAGUCAACAUGUCUACCGGGUUCUUAGAUCCACAAAUCUUCUCAAGUAUUACCAGUUUAUCUUCAACAAGGUAACGGAUAAAGUGGUAUUUUGUUUGUAUAUGCUUCGACUUUGAAUGAAAAGCUGAACUUUUGGCAAGAAAAAUUGCACUCUAACUGUCACUGUGUAGAAUGCCCAUCUCUUGUUUCUUACCCAAUUCAUCUAAGAAACCAUAUAGUCAAAUCAUCUCAUUUUCAGCUUCAGUUGUUGCAACAUACUCAGCUUCUGUAGUAGACAAAGCAACAAUCUUUUGUAGAUUUGAAGCCCAUGAUAUAGAUGUACCACCUAGAGUAAAAACAAACCUAAUAGUACUCUUUCUAUUAUCAAUAUCACCAACAAAAUCAGCUUCUACAUAACCUUGCAGUUUCAAACUUGCACUUAUGAAGCAAAGACAUGUAUCUAAUGAACCCUUCAGAUAUCUUAGAAUCCACUUGACUGCCUCCCAAUGCUGCUUUCCAGGCCUACUCAUGAAUUUGCUCACAACUCUCACUGCAUGUGCAAUGUCUGGCCUUGUACACACCAUAACAUACAUCAAGCUGCCAAUAGCUGAGGCAUAGGGCACCUUGCUCAUAUGGUACCUUUCUUCUUCUGUCUUCGGUGACUGUUCUUUGCUUAGUUUGAAAUGACUACCCAAUGGUGUGCUCAUUGGUUUAGCUUCAUUCAUGUUGAACCUGCUGAGAACUUUUUUCACAUACUCUGAUUGUGAAAGGUUCAAUGUACCAUUAGCCUUGUCUCUAAUGAUUCUCAUACCAAGGAUUUGAUUUACAGCUCCCAAAUCCUUCAUUGCAAACUGUUUGGACAAUUGCUUCUUCACAUUAUUAAUCUUCUCAAUGUCAGACCCUACAAUAAGCAUAUCAUCCACAUACAACAGUAAUAUGAUGUAAGAAUUGUCAAAAGACUUAACGUAGCAACAGUGAUCAGGUUCACAUCUCUUGAACUCAAUUCUAUGUAUAAAACUGUCAAACUUCUUGUACCACUGUUUAGGAGCUUGUUUAAGGCCAUACAAGCUAUUUCUCAAUUUGCAGACUAGAUUCUCUUGUCCCUGAACAAUGAACCCUUUUAGCUGAAUCAUGUCAAGGUCGUCCUCCAAGUCACCAUGAAAGAAUGUUGUUUUCACAUCUAACUGCUCAAGAUGUAAGUUUUUUGUAGCCACCAUUCCCAGUACAAGUUUGAUUGUUGACAUCUUCACAACUGGAGAAAAUAUCUCUGUGUUGUCAAUGUCCUCCUUCUGCUGAAACCCUUUAACAACUAAUCUGGCCUUAUAACGUUUUCUACCAUCAUGCUCAUUCUUUAUUCUGUAUACCCACUUGUUGUGCAACAAUUCAGUCAGUUCCCAUGUCUGAUUCCCUAACAAGGAAUCCAUCUCAUCCUUAAUGGUUAACUCCCACUUGCUUGAAUUCUCAUCUUGCAAGGUUUCAUCAUAACACUCUGGCUCACCACCAUCAGUCAACAGGAGAUAAUUUAAAACAGGUGAAUAACGUUGUGGAGGUCUAAUGUUCCUAGAAGAUUUGCAAACUUCAGCUACAUGUGUACUCAGAUCUACCUGUGAAUUUACAUUCUCCUUAUCUUAUUCACUCCCUUUUUGGACAGUACUUUCAGUCAAUUCAUCUAAGUUGACAAACUCAGAUUUCUUUUGAUCUAUCUCUGUAACAUCUGACACUACAGUUGACCUAUCCUUGUACAUAACCUGUUCAUUAAAUAUCACAUUUCUACUUCUGAUGAUUUUCAUGUUUUGUUCAUCCCAAAACCUAUAACCAAAUUUCUCAUCACCAUAACCAAUUAAAAAACAUAUUUUAGACUUUACACCAAGUUUACUACAAGCAUUAGAAUCAAUAUGAACAUAAAAAACACAACCAAAAACUUUUAAAUGUGAAAAUUUUACCUCUUUACCACUCCAAACCUCCUCAUGAAGUCUGAACUCCAUGGGAACUGAUGGUCCUCAGUUUAUCAGGUAAGCUGCAAUGCUAACAGCAUCAGCCCAAAAAGUUUUUGGUAGUCCAACAUGCAACCUCAUGCUUCUAGCACGCUCAUUGAGAGUUCUGUUCAUGCGCUCAGCCACACCAUUUUGUUGUGGUGUCCCAGGAAUGGUCUUCUCCAUCCUAAUUCCCUGUGUAGCACAAUACUCACUGAACCCUCCAUCUAUGUACUCUCUUCCAUUAUCUGACCUCAAACAUUUUACUCUCAAACCUGUUUCUGUCUCAACCAUAGCCUUCCACUUCCUAAAAGUUUCAAACAAAUCAGAUUUAUUUUUCAGAAAAUAAACUCAUACAUUUCUAUUUAAGUCAUCAAUAAAAGUGAUGUAGUACCUUGAACCUCCAAGGAAUGCAACCUGAGAAGGCCUCCACAGAUCAGUGUGUACUAGUUCCAAUUUUUCAGCCUUCGGUGUCCUGCCAGUUUUCAAGAAGCUCACAUUUUUUUGCUUUCCUAGGAUGCAACUUUCACACAUGUCAAAAUCAAUGAACUUCAAUUCUGGUAGUUUUCCUUUUGACAACAGUAUCUUCAUCCACUUCUUACUCAUGUGACCAAGUCUACGGUGCCAUAGGCUUGUAUCAGUACUUACAUCAACAACUGCAAUUAUGUUUCUUGGACAUGAGGUCAUAUACAGAGUACCAGUCUUCUUUCCACGAGCCAAUACCCUAGCUCCCUUUGUAACCUUCCAAGUACCACCAACAAAUAGUAUUGCAUGUCUUUCAUCAUCAAGGUGUCCAACAGAAAUCAGAUUCCUCCUCAGGUCAGGAAUAUGACGAACCUUCUCCAGUAACCAAAUAGACCCAUUGGGCAACGAUAUUCAGACGUCUCCCAGACCCACAACAUCCAAAGCUGAACCAUCAGCCAAAUACACCUUACCAAAAUCACCUGCAGCAUAAUUCUGUAUGAUUUCUCGGUGUGGAGUAGUACGAAAUGAAGCUCCUGAAUCCAAAACCCAAUCGUCAAGUGGACUGUCUACUACAAGAAGUAAUGCAUCAUGUACCUCUUCUGUUACAGCAUUAGCAUAAUCAUCUUCAUUCUUCUUCUUAGGACUUUUGCAUUGCCUUUUAAAGUGACCUGUUUUCCCAUAGUUCCAGCAUUGUACUUAUUGGCCUGAUCUAGAUUUACUUCUGUUCCGAUUAGAAUUUCUGGAUUUUGAUCUACCCCCUUUUGAAUUUCUGUCAUUACCUCUGCCUCUUGUCUUAAGGUUUAGGGCAGAACCAGAUCCUGAGGUUUUGCUUGCAUCUCUUAGGCGAAUCUCAUCAGCCAUAAUUAAAUCUCGUAUAUCAUUGUAUUUGAGUUUUUUCUUUCUCGUAGAAUUGCUUACUGCCAUCCUCAUUGCCUCCCAACUGUUUGGCAAAGAAGCCAAAAUGAUCAAAGCAUGAAUCUCAUCAUCAAAAUCAAUUUCUACAUACUACAAUUGAUUUGUGAUUGUAUUAAAUUCAUUCAGAUGUUGUGCUACUGAUGCAUUCUCUGCCAUCUUCAAAUUGAACAAUUUCUUCAUCAGAUGCACCUUAUUGUUUGCGGACGACUUUUCAUACAUAUCAGACAAAGCCUUCAUCAAAUCUGUCGUGGUCUUCUCCUUUACAACAUUGUGUGCAACAGACCUAGAUAGAGUUAACCUAAUAAUUCCUAGAACCUGUCUGUCAAUAAGUGCCCAUUCUUCAACCUUCAUACUCUCAAGUUUUGUCCCCAAAAGAGGCAGAUGCAAUUUCUUCCCAUAGAGAUAAUCUUCAAUCUGCAUCCUCCAAUACGCAAAGUUUAUGCCAUCAAACUUUUCUAUUCCAGACGUUUUUCCUGCUUCCUCUGCCAUUGCUCCCACUCAAACCUAACCCUAUGCUCUAAUACUAGUUGAAGGGAAUUAAGAUGAAUUCCCAACCUGUGAGAAACAAAAAAAAAAAAAAUAGAGAAAACACACGCCAAAGAAAAACAAUCACACUCACAAGACAGUAUUUACAUAGUUCGGCAAUUUGCCUACAUCAACGGCAGAGUACUUUUAUCAGUAUUAUCAGAGAAGAAUACAGAGUACUUUUAUCGACUAUAAUAUUUUCUCUCUUUAUAUAACACAGCAACCACACUACACUAAAAAACCCUAAUUACAAAAGGCAGUUCCACAAUGGGUUAAACAGGCCUAUCAGCCCAAGCCUUCGCUCCAUGGACUAAGCCUCGAUAAAUCUCCCAUUAAAAACCAUGCAAUAUUAUUCGGGUCGGGUCACCAAACUGGAUCAAACAAAACUAGGCUCCACAAAGCCCAACAAUAUGCAUGUUGACAUUGGUAAUUCAUUCCCCCUUCCAUGGUGACUUUUCAAUUCAUACUUAUUCAUACCUGCAUUUCUUUCUAUGUUCAUUAAUAUCGGUUCAUUCCCUUCGUUUGUAGUAACUUUUUAAUUUAUAUUUCUCACAUAAGUAACACUACCAUCAUUAAAGGUGACAUUAUCUCCAUUGAAAUCUUCAAAAGACGUGGAGAUCGAAGAUAUCACUCAUUAGGGGCUCUAACUCUAAGUACAAUAAUAAAGACUACAUUGCCUUGGGUCUGUCAUUUUUUAGUUAAAUUUAUUUAACCGUAGGUGGAGAACUAAAGGAGCUUUUCAUAUGCUUAGUGUUGUUUUUCUCUCUUCUUAAUAUUUAGUAUUUAAUUUUUUAAGAAUUUUGACUCACUCACUAGUGCAAAAGGAGGUUGCAGGGUUAGAAGCUUCCCCUUACCCUUAACAAAAACUAUUUCUUCAUUAGUGGGGGUUUUAUGAUUGAAUCUAUAUUGUUUUCACUUAUUUUCUCAAUGAACCCGUUCAAGGGGAUUAGGGGAUUUGAACCUUUUCUUAUAAAUAAAAGGAGAAUUUCUUUGUUACCAUUAGGCUAUAAAAGUUUUUUGUUCAUUCCCGACCCACACCUAAAAUAAAGAGUUAGACAAUUGCCCCCUUCAAGCCAUUUGGUAGCUUUGUCACUAGUUGUUUUAAAAAAUAAUUAGAUAAAUAUGGAAAAUGAUAAAAAUAAAGAACUACAUAUAAAGGUUAUUUUUAAAAUAUAUUUAAAAACAUAAAAAAUAAGUUAAAAAUAUUUCACAUUCUCAAAUAGAAAUUGAUCCACCAAUUUUAAAAUAGCAAAAAACAAGUUUAAAAAAUUAUUCUCAAAAUAGACAUUUGUUCUAUAAAGCAGUAGAUAAAGGUUUCAAAAAUUGUUUUUAAAAACUAUUUUUUACAACUAUUUUUUAAAAUAGCUAUUAAAUGAGGAUUAGUCACGUGGAUCAUUUUUCCUAUUUUGUACUUGUCAUGAAAGAGAAUCUUUGGAUCCUAAGAACUUCUUUGAAGGAUUAUUUUUCCUCAAUCUUAUACUUCUGUGAAAGGGGAAUCCUUGACUUCCCAAAAAUUUCUUUUUUUUUUUCUCAAAAGAGGAAUGGUUAUGCAAGGUUAUUCUUAUGACCCAAGAAGAAGAUGCAAAAUUGAGAGAAUUAAGGGAACAAUUUUUUUUAUUAUUAAGAAUAAUUCAUCAUUGUUUUUUUUCCAUUACAUUCCUCCUAUUUAUAUAGACUAUGAAAUAUAAAUAGAAAUAGAAAUCAAUAAAAACUCAUCCUAAUAGAAACUAGAAACCUAUUGAAAAUAGAACUCCUCCUAAUAAAAACUACAAAUUCUAAGGAUUCUAUGGAUCAUUUCUUCGGGUUGUAACAUUCCCUUCCCAUCAAAAAAAGUCUUAUCCUUAUGGCUAAAAUAGUGGAAGCUUUUGUUGAAUCUUGUAACCAUCUUUCCAUGUUGUGUCUUUUGGAAACAAGUUGGACAAUUUGCCCUGUUGUUCCUUUUUAACUUCACAUGUUGCUUCCACUUCACUUUCAUGACCAUCUAAUAAAAAAAUUUGUUUUCUUUUACAUUUAUGACCAGGUUCAUAACAAUAAUAACAAUACCUUUUUUCUUGUCUCUCUUGCAUCCUUGUGGUUGAAAUCCUCUUAAUGGGUGGUAAUUGGCUAUUCUGAUUCAUUCUUACUCCCAUAGAGUUCACUGUACUCUCCCCACUUUCGUUAGAGUCCUUGACUUUUUUUAAGAUUGCCUUCAUUGCCCCUUCUUGUAGCAAGGCUAAUCCUAUGGUUUGGGAUAAUGUGCUUGGGUGAAACAUUGUGACUUGAUUUUUUAUUAUUUCUUCCAAGCCACUAAUGAAACAUUGAACAAAAAACUCCUCCAAUAAUCCACUACUUUUAGCCAUCAAUGCCUCAAGUUGCUCUUGAUAUGCCCUAACCGUAGCAACCUGUUUUAGUUUGGUUAUUUGCCUAAUAGGACCAUCAUAAGCACACUAGGGUCAAACCUAGAAACCACAUCCAUAGAAAAUUGUUGCCAAUGGAUCUCCUUAUUACCAACCUCGUACUCUUGAAACCAUUCUAAGGUUCUUCCUUCUAAAUGUAAGGAAGUCAAUCCUACCUUCUCAUGAUCUCCAAUUCCAUUAAAUUUUAAAAAAUCUAUCACAUUUCUAAAUCUACCCACUUGGAUUCUCACCUUCAAAAACUAGGAAAUUGAGUUUGGAAAACUUAGUUUGAAGAAAAUUUGUGCCUUGUGAGUGAUAGCCCAUCUCGCUUAUGUUGAUUAAAGCACUAUCCCCAUUCCCUAACUUCUUCUUUCUAGAAGUCACAUGUUCAAAUUUCAGGUUUAUUGUUGCAACCAUUCUUGAUAGUUCUAAUAAAGUGGUUGUUUGUUUAUUCGAUGAAUCCUACAAAUAUGAUAAAUUGGCUGCUUGUUUAUCUAAUGAAUCAUGCAAUUGCUUAACAAUAUCUUCAAGUUUUCGUUGUCCUUGCAAUAUAGUCCUUUCUGCCAUAAUUGGUGCCAAGACUGUGCUACCAAUUUUGAUGACCCAAGAAGAAAAUGCAAAAUUGAGAGAAUUGAAAGAACAAUUUUCUCUUAUUAAGAAUAAUUCAUCAUUGUUUUUUCCCGUUACAUUCCCCCUAUUUAUAUAAACUUCAAAAUAGAAAUAGAAACCAAUAGAAACUCAUCCUAAUAGAAACUAGAAACCUAUUGAAAAUAGAACUCCUAAUAAAAACUACUAAUCCUAAUGAUUGGUUAUUCUAAAUAGAAACUAAAUAAGAACCAAAGAUUGAGGGAUUCUAAGGAUCCUUUAUUUGGGUCCUAACAGUUAUCUAGAAAAACUUAUAAAACUAUGGUAAAAGAAAAUUUUCAUUCAGAGGUUGGUGUUUCUUAAAUACCAUAGUGUUUUCAAUUAAAAGUCAUUUCAGACCAUUUUUGGAGGAUUAAAAGCCUACCUACCUUUGAAAAAAGUUUGAUUUAAAAAAAAUUAAACAUUUAACAAAAUUUUAAAUUAUAUUUAAAUUUUUAAAUAAUAGCUUUAAAUGAUUUGUUUGGAUUAGCACUAUAAGUAUUUCAAAAAUAACGUUUUAAUUGUCAAAAUACACUUUUAAAAUAUACCUUUUUGCAACUUAUAUUAUUGCUUGAGUGCACUUGUUUCUCAAAAACAUAUAACAAUAAUAAUGUUUACAAAAAUAUAAGACUUGUUUGGUAAAUGAUUUCGAAAACCAUUUUCGAUAAUAGUUUUUGAAAAUUAUUUUCUAAUGUUUUAUAGAAAUAAAAGUAAACUUGAAAUAUUUUUAACAUAUUUUUAAUAUUUUUAAAUAUAUUUUAAAAAUAAUUUUAUAUCUAAUGUUUUAUUUUUAAUCAUUCUACAUACUUGUAUAAUUAUUUUCUAAAACAUUUUAUCUGAAAACACCUUAUUUUCUGUAAUAGUUUAUGGAUGUUAAACGUAUUUAUUUGUUUUUUCAUUCUACAAAAGAGAAAACUAUUUUCAAAACAGUUGCUAAAUAGACCCAUAAAGUCCUUGAAAACUUUUUAAACUUUUCUACAAAAAUUAAAAUAUUAAAACAUUUUUAUCAUAUCAAAUUAAAAUAAGGGAAAUCAUGUAAAAGUGUAUUGUUUAAAAAGAUAUGGAUGAAUUGAGAACCUAAAAAAGUGGGUUUCAUGGAGAUUAUUUUGGGGAAAAUAAUUCUCAUAUCAUCCGAUAGAAUAGUAACUUUCGAAUAAUACCUUUCAAUCAGUUGAGAGUGGGUUGUCACCUAUACAAGGGAAUUUGGCAAGCACCCUUACUUAGACCUUGCAUAUAUAGUUGUCACAUCACCUAUUAUUAUUUCAACAUCUACUUCAAACAUGUCAGGGACCAUAGUAACAUUGUUUUUAUCUAAAAGUAAUAAUAUUAGUAACUACAAGUAUCACUGUAUAUAACAUAAUGUACCACCCUAUUUAUCACUCACCAUCACUUUAACCUCUACAUCAAAUAUACCACCGUAUAUAACAACAUUGUUUUUAUCUAAUUUUAGUAACAAUAUAAGUAACAAAAGUACCACUAUAGAUAACUGAAUAUAUUAACCUAUUUAGUUUUUUAUUGUCAUUGUUAUGACUUUGAUGGUAAUUAUUUAAAUAAUAUGCAAAAAAAAAAUGCACAUAAUGUACUUUAUAAAAACAUUAUUUAUUAAAAAUAAAAAUAAUUUUAAUUGUAAAUUUUUAAUUAAACAAAAAUGUGCUUUUUUAUAUAUAUUUAAUAAAAAAAAUUAGUUUUUAUUUUUAUUUUUUCUUUUUAAACAUCAAUAUAAUAUGAUGAGAAUUGUGAAUUUAUAUUAAAACUUUAAUACAAACACUUUUAAAAUCUUAAUUUUAACUACCUGAAAUAUUAUUUUUAAAAUUAAAUACUCUUAAAAAAUAAUCAUUUCUAAUUUUUUUGUUGAAUGAAAUUAAAGGUAAGUUAAUAUUUUUUUAUUUAAAAAAACAAAAAAAAUUAAUUUAAACACAUGUGGAUAGCGUUUUUAAAAAAAAAUAAAAAUAAAAAUAUAAAAAAUGAGAUCCAUAAUAUGAAAUUAUAAAUAUUAUAAAUAUAAAAAUAUUAUGAAUAGGAAACAAAAUAAAAUAUUAUCUAGGAAAAAGUAGGUUUAAAUUCACUAAUUUGAAAAAAUAUAAAUAAAUAAAUAAACCUCAACUUUUAUAAAUCAGUUUUAUCUUCAUUAAUUUUAAAAUAUUUUAAAAUACAUACACUUUUAUAAUUGUUUUCAAAAAUAUAAUAAUUAAAAUACUAAAAAAAUAUUUCACAUUCCCAAAUAGAAAUUGAUCCACCAAUUUAAACAAGUUCAAAAAAAUUAUUCUCAAAAUAGACAUUUGUUCUACAAAAUAAAUACAAAUUUCAAAAAUUGUUCUUGAAUUUUUUUUUUUAAGAACUAUUUUCCAAAAUAGCUUCUUUGGAUCCCAAGAAUUUCUUUGAAGGAUUAUUUUUCCUCAAUCUUAUGCUUCGAUGUAGACACAAAUUUCAUAAAAGUCCUACAAAGUUAACAAAAAAAAAAAGGAAAAAUUUAUUGAAAUUAAAAUAUUGUGAGGUAUAAUCUCUAUGAUUAUAUUCUUUUAUAGAAGAAUAUAUUUAUUUGAUUCUUCCAUUUUAACCGCGACUCGAACAACCAUGAAAAAAUUGUUUUCUUGGAUUUGAAAAUCAAUUGAGGGCUUAAAUGACUUUUUCCCGAAUGAACUUGUAGAAUGACGAAAAACAUAUGUUUAGUCUUUUGCCAUUUAUCAAACUUGGCAAAUGAAAUUUGAUGAAACUUUUUCUUUUAUUGUAAAACAUCUUUUUCUAUACUAAAUUGCCUCUUGAUUUUCUUCUUAGGAUUUUUUUUAUUUAAUUUUUUCAGUUUCUAAAUCGGAUCUCUUAAAAGAAGUCACUUCUAUAAAAGGUGGGGAAUUUAAUUCUAAAUUCCCAAAUUUUAAUUGCUUAAUUUAAGGAAUUUAGUUUCUUAAUUUUAGCAACUUUUCUUCUUCAAGAGGUUUUAACAACAACAACAACAUAAUAAUAAUAAUAAUAAUAUAGAGAUUAAUUUCUUUUUUUAGAAAACUUAUCCGUAAGAGAAUAUCUACAUAUAUAUUUUAUUAUUAUUCUUUUCUGACUUAGAGACCUCAUUUCAUAAUCUUUCAAAUUUGUGCAACGUGUCUAAUAAGCCCAAAUUUUAUUGAACCAUAAAAUUGCCUUUUUUUAAAGAUUAAAUUUAAUGACAAUUUAAUUCACUCAAUUUUUUAUGUCUACAAAUACGCGUCAAUUACAUGAAUUGACAUGUGCAUGGGAUGGGGUGGGCCUUGAAAUUAACCCCAAUUUGAGAAACCUGUCUUCAAUUCUCCACCAGAAGGCUUCACCCUCCAUCAAUUUCCAAACCUCUGUAUCUUGAGAGGGACACGUGGAGCAACCCCCACAUGUAUGGGCUGUAUACAACCCCCAUUAAAAGUUAUAUAUAUGCCUACCCCCAUUCAAAGUUUCAACUUCCGGUGGGUGGAAUAAUAAAAUUAUAUAUGUGCCUACUCCUAUUAAAAGUUAUAUAUAUACCUACCCUCAUUUUCUUGUGCGGCAGGCUUAAUUAAGUCUUCAACCAUGUCCAGCUCAAGUCAUAGGGGCAUUCUCAAAACUGAAGCCCUCACAAAGGUAAGUUUUUUGUUUUUUUGUUUUUUUUUUUUUGCAUUUUUAAUGCAGUUUCUUUAUGGAUUCCUAAUGAUUGAAAGGUGGAUCUUGAAGUAAUCUACAUGCUGAAGUUUUUUUCCUUUGUUGUGUGACAGUAUCUAUUGGAAACAAGUGCAUACCCAAGAGAGCAUGAGCAGCUGAAAGGCCUCAGGGAGGCCACGGUAGAAAAGCAUAAGUAUUGGUAAUAUUCAUGUUAAUAAUCUGAGUUUUUAUUUGGAAGAUCUAAAUUGAGGUAUAGAGAAGGGAUAUUAUUUAAAAUUAAUCAGCUUGAAUCCUCAAAAUUAUUAUUAUUAUUAUUAUUUUAAUUAUUUUUAGUCCUUUUCUCAAACCUAGUUUUUUUUUUUUCCCUUCAAUUUGAAUUAUGGAAAGUGCAAGAAAAAGAGAAAAAAAAUUUUAAAAAAAACAUCUUAAAUAUAAUAAAAAUUAUUUAAUGAGUGUGCAUGAAAACAUUUAUAUUAAAAACACUUCCAUCAAACACAUUCAAAUAUGUUUGACAAUAAUUUUAAAAAGUGUUUCUAAUUUUUUUAAUACUUGAAAAAUAAAAAUUUUCAAAUAUUAAAAAGUUUAGAAAUACUUCUUAGAAUCGUUAUUAAACGCAUUCCAUUGUUUCCAAUUUUUCUAAUACUUAAAAAUAAAAUUUUCUUAAUGUUACAAAGGUUAGAAAUAUUUUCUAAAAUUGCUUUAAGUGUUUUUAUCAUUUCUUGAAUGAUACAGAUUUUUAAGUGUUAAAAAAGUUUGAAAACACUUCCUUAAGUUACAGCUAAACAUACUCAAUCUUCGAAUAUCACAUUUGUCUUCAAAUCAAUUUUCUCCUCUCUUUUUUCUGCCAAUAAGUUGUUUUAUUCUCUAUUUUUCAAUUUUUCUGACUUAUUUUAUAGUUUGGACUGGACCUCUGCCAUUUGAUUGGCCUCAAAAUAGGCCCAGCCCAGCCAAACCGAGCCCACUAAAAUCUCUGGCAAUAGACAUAAAGGUGAUAGGCAUAUAUUAAGGGAAAAUGCGAUAUUUAUUUUUAUUUUUAGUAAUUUUUUAAUAAAAAAUGAGAGUAAGAAUUAAAAAUUCGCUAUCAUAUAAAUCAAAAUUCAUUUUUUCAUCAUUUUAUUUCCAUUCCACAAUAAAUAGAAAUGGAAACAAAAAUAUUCACUCUCAUUCCCAAUUUCUGAGUGCCAAACAACCCCUUAAUUCACUCUCAUUCUCAUUCCUAUCCUAAUCUACAGUGCAUUAAUAAUUUUGCAGGAGCCUGAUGAAUGUCCCUGUCGAUGAGGGACUGUUCAUUUCAAUGCUUCUAAAGAUCAUGAAUGCCAAGAAGACAAUCGAGCUCGGAGUGUUCACCGGUUAUUCUCUCUUGGCAACAGCUCUUGCCCUGCCUCAAGAUGGCAAGGCAAGGCUCUCUAGAAAAGAAAAUAGUUUUCAAAUUUAGAAACAUCUUUGAAUUUCAGACAUAAAAUAAUUUUUAAAGAAUAUAUUCUAAAAACUCUUUUUAAUAUUUAAGUUUUCAAAUAGGAUUUUGUUCUCGAAAACAAGUGAGAAUUGCUUUCAGGAAGUGUUUUUUGUGCAGAUAAUAGCGGUUGAUCCAGAUAAAGAAGCGUACCAAACUGGAGUGCCAUUUAUCAAGAAGGCAGGUGUGGAGCAUAAGAUCAACUUCAUUCAAUCAGAUGCAAUGUCAGUUCUAAAUGAUCUCAUUGCCGAUGUAAGUGUCCUCUCCGUAGCUCGAGCCACCGCUGCCUUCAACCAAACACCUCUCUAUUUGAAUGAAUGAAUGUGUGCAGGGGAAAGAAGAAGGGACAUUGGACUUUGCGAUGGUGGAUGCUGAUAAGGAGAACUACCUCAACUACCAUGAGCUGCUGCUGAAGUUGGUUAGAGUUGGAGGCAUAAUUGCUUACGAUAACACUCUAUGGUUUGGUUCAGUAGCGCGAUCUGAAGAAGAAGAAAUGAUGGAUUUUGAGAGAGCAGGCAGAGUCCAUCUCAUGAAGUUGAACAAAUUCUUGGCAUCAGAUCCCAGGGUUGAACUCUCUCACCUUUCCAUUGGAGAUGGCGUCGCGCUCUGCAGGCGCCUCUAUUAGCCUAAAUCCAUUCUCAUGAGGUUUAGGGUUUGCUUAUGGUGUUGAUUUUUCAAGGAAGUCUUUUGUCGGAUUUGUAUUUGUAUUUGUAUUUGUAUUUGAACUCAUGUCCAGACUCUGUUUUGGGAAUGAAUUUCUGCUUCAAGUUUAAGUUGAAAAUUUUGGACACUGCCAUUGAUGUAUCUAUUAGGAAUACAACUCCUUCCUAGCUUUACAGAGAGAGCGGAGAGAUUGUAUCGAAAGAGUGCCUUGAUUUGUUCCAUUGAGUGCUAGAAUAAAGUUUCAUUCAUUCUCCCUUGGACGAGAGAGGCCUAGAUGUGGGCUUAAAAAGACUUUUUAUAGGUCGGAACUUAUAUGGGCCUAGCCCACUUAUGAUAUGAAGGACUUGUUUGGGCACAUUUUAAAACAAUUUUUUAGAAUAAUUUUAGAAAACUGGUUUUUGAUGUUUUU